rnacentral:lncRNA from 1 species
CUAGCAAAGAAGCUCUUUUGAUUAAUUGCAGUAUUUGCCUGAUUCAAGAUCAUAAUUGAGAAGCAAUUUCUUGGUUAUGGACGAUUGAUAUAUAUCUUUACAUGGUAGUAUCGUGAUGAGGAUACUCUCCUUUUGGUAACUUCAAUGCAAAAACAAGACUACAAAAGCAGAAUGUUUGACAGGGUACUUUUAGAUAAAACUUGACAUUUAUAGAUUGUUUCGGCCAUGCUUUCCCUGAUAUUUAUUUGAUGCAUUUGUUUCAUGUUUGGAUUAGUCUUUUCGUCUUUUGGGAGGUCUUUUCUUUCUUUUUUCUUUUACUAAGUAUUGACUUCUUAUGAGUUCUGGUAUCAUAAAUGAGACCAUCCAUUUGUGAUGAUUUAGCUAUCUUGGUUCCUGUAUUUGUUUAAGUUAGGUUAAGUGUAUCCCUUAGGUAUUAUUGGUUGUGCAAUUUAGUCCCCCAUCUAUUUUUGUUUUUGCUGAAUAUAGUCCUCUUUCACUUUUUUGUGCAAUCGAGUCAUUUGUGGUCAAUCACUGGUUGACACCACCAAUUUGUUGAUGUGGCGUCUGUAUUUAGUUAUGAUACACGAGCAACCAUGCAAUAUAACCUGUAAACGUACAUUAUGUGUGUUGUAUAGACUUUUCAUAAUAGUUGAUAGUUUCUUUUUAUAUAUGGCAGGGUUGGUAGAUGCAUUUGAAUGGUUAGAGUUGUAUUGGUUCGCAUAUAAAUGAUGGGAGUAAAGGAAGUGUUAUUUCACAUAUAAAAAGGGCAUUAAUUUUGAUAAAUAUAUUUUAAUAUAUGCAUGAAGAGAGGCCUUCUAUUGUAAUUGCAAAUGGACCCAAAUUUUGGAAAUUCAUAAGGUCCAAAUUGCGAAAGGUAUAGUUGGAUAAGGAAAAAGUUUGGAAACAACCACUUGAGCUUCUCAUCUUUACAUAGAUUAGAUAAAUAAUAUACAACUACAACCUUUCAUUUCACAAAAAUCAAAGGGAGAAGCCUACGCCAUAGUAGUAUGACAGCAAAUUGAAAUUGGUGCAUUUUAUUUUAUAUCGGUUGGUCUCAUCUCAUCAUUCAAAACUUAUAAUCCACAAUGUUUCCAAAUUGCAGGGUACUAGAAAGAUUGAGGCCCUUCUUCUCGACAGACGGGGUUAUGGAAAAAGAUAUGCGGCUGAACAAUUUAAAGAAUUGACCAACUUGAGGUUCCUUCAAGCGGAUGGUGUGAAUUUCACCGGAGAUUUCCAAAGCUUACUUCCUAAAUUAAGAUGGCUUCAAUGGGAGGGCUGUCCAUCAAAUUUCACUGCGAACAACUUUCAUCCGAAAAAACUAGUUGUACUCGAUCUAUCAUACAGUGACAUUUCAGAGGACUGGGGAGGAUGGGAUCCACUCAAGGUAAGAUGUAAAGAAGACAUUGAAGUAUCUUUUAACAUAACAUUUUUUUUCCUUGUACAUUUGAAAAUUGAUUUUAAUAAUUAAACUAGCUAUUUCUCUUUAAUUUCAUACUACUGAAGGACAACAUGGUGCCCAAUGAUUGCAUCUCUCUUUCAUUUGGACUUGUCGUAUGCUUUUUUGAUAUUAUAAGUUGCUAAUGUCUAAUAAGCAAAUAUCUCCUUUGAAAUGUUAUUCGGAAAUAAAUGCGGUUAGCACUUGUACACCCUAACAUUCUUUUGCAAUCGAUGUGCUUAGAAAACAUUCAUCUAUUGACGUGGCCAAAUAUUACUGAAAGAGGCAUUUAAAAUUAAGUAGGACAACCACGAAGGAGUAGAGGAGCACGGGGAAUUUCUGAGGAAUUCUAAAAAGUGAAAUACAUAAGGAGUAGCGAAAAAUCACAGGGGUUGUGACAGUCCACUUACACUGACGUGCCCUUUCUUUCUUCCAGAUGGCGACUAAGCUCAAAGUUCUCAACCUGAAGGAUUGUCAAUCUUUGAAAAGAACGCCCGACUUGUCCACUUUCAAAAGAUUGGAGAUUUUGACUCUUGUAAAUUGUGAGAAUCUGGAAGAGCUUCAUCCUUCUAUUGGAAAUUUGGCAUCAUUGAUCGAGCUGGACGUAGGAUACUCAUCGAUUACGAAAUUACCUGAAAGCAUUGGGAAUCUGCAAAAUUUGAGGAACUUGAAUAUUUCUUAUACUCACAUAACAGAAUUGCCUCAUGCCAUUGGGAUGUUGACAAAACUCCAAAAGUUAUGGGUUUGGGCCUGCGGAAAUCUAGAGCGACUACCUAAUAAUAUAUGCGAACUGAUUUCGCUAGAGCUGCUCAAACUUGAUUGGUGUGAAAAGCUUGGGGAAUUACCAGAACUGCCCUCCGGCAUAAAAAAUCUAUAUAUCACCUGCCAGGGGCAGUCUUUGCCCCAGCUUUCUCAGCUAACCCGUCUCGAGAAAUUCCAUGUUGAUGGUUGCCAUCGGCUUGAAUGUGUCCCGGAGCUUCCCAUUGGACUAUCGGAGCUUCGUAUUUUGAAUUGUGAAAAAUUGAAAGCCUUAACGAAUUUGUCAGAUUUGAAACACUUGCGAUGUUUCGAUAUAUUAAAUUGCCCAUCUCUCGAAGAAUCGCCCGACUUGUCGAAUUUUAUACGUACGCAGAUGAGAGAACUUAGCUGAAAGGGAGGCAGUACCCUAGUGGGUUAAUAAGAUUCGAGUGUGAGCAGGCGUGAAGAGCUAAGGGGGGCAGAAGAGAAGGACGGCUGGACAUCCAUGGAAUCUCUCUCUCUCUCUCUCUCUCUCUCUCUCUCUCUCUCUCUCUCUCUCUCUCUCUCUCUCUCUCUCUCUCUCUCUCUCUCUCUCUCUCUCUCUCUCGCUACUAGUCAGUCGCCCAACUGGUUUCCCAGGCUCGAAGAUCGAAGCCACCGUUCCCACUGCGCAUCCACCGCAGGCAGGCGGGCAGGUCGGUCGGCGCGGCGGAGAUGACGACAGCGACGGCGACGAGGCGACGCCACGGCUGGCAACGCCCUCUCCAUCCGCUCCAGGUAAACGCACGCACACGUCUCUCGAGCUUUCCUGCGGUCUCUCAGCGUCACUCCGGUGCGCGAGCUCAUCGAUUGUUGGGAUUGGAGAUUUUAGUUUGCUCAGUAGUAGCUAGCGUGGUAGUUUCGGCAGCAAUCGGGUAGGCGGUUGGAGCUGGAAGUCGCGCUGGCUGCCAAUGUUCUGUCGAGAUUUGGUGAGAUCCGUUGAGUUGCUAGAAUGAUCAAGGUCACUGAAAGCCAGAUCGAUUACAUGUNNNNNNNNNNNNNNNNNNNNNNNNNNNNNNNNNNNNNNNNNNNNNNNNNNNNNNNNNNNNNNNNNNNNNNNNNNNNNNNNNNNNNNNNNNNNNNNNNNNNNNNNNNNNNNNNNNNNNNNNNNNNNNNNNNNNNNNNNNNNNNNNNNNNNNNNNNNNNNNNNNNNNNNNNNNNNNNNNNNNNNNNNNNNNNNNNNNNNNNNNNNNNNNNNNNNNNNNNNNNNNNNNNNNNNNNNNNNNNNNNNNNNNNNNNNNNNNNNNNNNNNNNNNNNNNNNNNNNNNNNNNNNNNNNNNNNNNNNNNNNNNNNNNNNNNNNNNNNNNNNNNNNNNNNNNNNNNNNNNNNNNNNNNNNNNNNNNNNNNNNNNNNNNNNNNNNNNNNNNNNNNNNNNNNNNNNNNNNNNNNNNNNNNNNNNNNNNNNNNNNNNNNNNNNNNNNNNNNNNNNNNNNNNNNNNNNNNNNNNNNNNNNNNNNNNNNNNNNNNNNNNNNNNNNNNNNNNNNNNNNNNNNNNNNNNNNNNNNNNNNNNNNNNNNNNNNNNNNNNNNNNNNNNNNNNNNNNNNNNNNNNNNNNNNNNNNNNNNNNNNNNNNNNNNNNNNNNNNNNNNNNNNNNNNNNNNNNNNNNNNNNNNNNNNNNNNNNNNNNNNNNNNNNNNNNNNNNNNNNNNNNNNNNNNNNNNNNNNNNNNNNNNNNNNNNNNNNNNNNNNNNNNNNNNNNNNNNNNNNNNNNNNNNNNNNNNNNNNNNNNNNNNNNNNNNNNNNNNNNNNNNNNNNNNNNNNNNNNNNNNNNNNNNNNNNNNNNNNNNNNNNNNNNNNNNNNNNNNNNNNNNNNNNNNNNNNNNNNNNNNNNNNNNNNNNNNNNNNNNNNNNNNNNNNNNNNNNNNNNNNNNNNNNNNNNNNNNNNNNNNNNNNNNNNNNNNNNNNNNNNNNNNNNNNNNNNNNNNNNNNNNNNNNNNNNNNNNNNNNNNNNNNNNNNNNNNNNNNNNNNNNNNNNNNNNNNNNNNNNNNNNNNNNNNNNNNNNNNNNNNNNNNNNNNNNNNNNNNNNNNNNNNNNNNNNNNNNNNNNNNNNNNNNNNNNNNNNNNNNNNNNNNNNNNNNNNNNNNNNNNNNNNNNNNNNNNNNNNNNNNNNNNNNNNNNNNNNNNNNNNNNNNNNNNNNNNNNNNNNNNNNNNNNNNNNNNNNNNNNNNNNNNNNNNNNNNNNNNNNNNNNNNNNNNNNNNNNNNNNNNNNNNNNNNNNNNNNNNNNNNNNNNNNNNNNNNNNNNNNNNNNNNNNNNNNNNNNNNNNNNNNNNNNNNNNNNNNNNNNNNNNNNNNNNNNNNNNNNNNNNNNNNNNNNNNNNNNNNNNNNNNNNNNNNNNNNNNNNNNNNNNNNNNNNNNNNNNNNNNNNNNNNNNNNNNNNNNNNNNNNNNNNNNNNNNNNNNNNNNNNNNNNNNNNNNNNNNNNNNNNNNNNNNNNNNNNNNNNNNNNNNNNNNNNNNNNNNNNNNNNNNNNNNNNNNNNNNNNNNNNNNNNNNNNNNNNNNNNNNNNNNNNNNNNNNNNNNNNNNNNNNNNNNNNNNNNNNNNNNNNNNNNNNNNNNNNNNNNNNNNNNNNNNNNNNNNNNNNNNNNNNNNNNNNNNNNNNNNNNNNNNNNNNNNNNNNNNNNNNNNNNNNNNNNNNNNNNNNNNNNNNNNNNNNNNNNNNNNNNNNNNNNNNNNNNNNNNNNNNNNNNNNNNNNNNNNNNNNNNNNNNNNNNNNNNNNNNNNNNNNNNNNNNNNNNNNNNNNNNNNNNNNNNNNNNNNNNNNNNNNNNNNNNNNNNNNNNNNNNNNNNNNNNNNNNNNNNNNNNNNNNNNNNNNNNNNNNNNNNNNNNNNNNNNNNNNNNNNNNNNNNNNNNNNNNNNNNNNNNNNNNNNNNNNNNNNNNNNNNNNNNNNNNNNNNNNNNNNNNNNNNNNNNNNNNNNNNNNNNNNNNNNNNNNNNNNNNNNNNNNNNNNNNNNNNNNNNNNNNNNNNNNNNNNNNNNNNNNNNNNNNNNNNNNNNNNNNNNNNNNNNNNNNNNNNNNNNNNNNNNNNNNNNNNNNNNNNNNNNNNNNNNNNNNNNNNNNNNNNNNNNNNNNNNNNNNNNNNNNNNNNNNNNNNNNNNNNNNNNNNNNNNNNNNNNNNNNNNNNNNNNNNNNNNNNNNNNNNNNNNNNNNNNNNNNNNNNNNNNNNNNNNNNNNNNNNNNNNNNNNNNNNNNNNNNNNNNNNNNNNNNNNNNNNNNNNNNNNNNNNNNNNNNNNNNNNNNNNNNNNNNNNNNNNNNNNNNNNNNNNNNNNNNNNNNNNNNNNNNNNNNNNNNNNNNNNNNNNNNNNNNNNNNNNNNNNNNNNNNNNNNNNNNNNNNNNNNNNNNNNNNNNNNNNNNNNNNNNNNNNNNNNNNNNNNNNNNNNNNNNNNNNNNNNNNNNNNNNNNNNNNNNNNNNNNNNNNNNNNNNNNNNNNNNNNNNNNNNNNNNNNNNNNNNNNNNNNNNNNNNNNNNNNNNNNNNNNNNNNNNNNNNNNCCUUAUAAUGGUGGAGUUGGAAGUGAGAUCUACCUUCAUGAGAGCUUGGAUUGGGGUAAAGGAAAGGUCUGCAGUGUGUCCAUAGAUAGCAAUGCAGCACAAUACCAACACCUUUGUACUGCAGCCAUCAUAUUUGGUUGGGGAUGGAAUUCUUUUUUACAUGUUAGCACAUACCUCUUUACCUUUUUCUAAUUUUUUCAUCCUCCUAUCUUCUUCUUUUCAUUGCCAUUAUCUGGUUUUGCGUUUGUUUUAUUCUCUUCUUUACUCAUGCCCCAGAUGCUUCUCUAGUUGACUUUCUCUAAUAGGCAUGAGAGUUUCUUCAGUGAUGUGCUUCCGCUGUGGUGAUGCUCUUGCUUUUAUCUUCUACUUUUGAACUUCAUUCCCUUUUUUCAAAGAUAACACACAGGUGUUAGUGGAGAAGAAAAGAUAGAGAAUCUAUCACUUUAGACCUUAAUUUUCUGUUGUCUUAUGAUCAUUGAUCCAAAGUCCAAUUUCAAUCAUUUUCAGAUUGAUCUUAACAACCUUUACCUUAAGGGUUAGAUUUUAUACUGCAGGGAUUGUCUCCCAUGUGUGUACAAUCGUGUAGCUGUGACAUGCCAUCUAUGUAUAACUAUCUAAAAAAGGAAUGUGCUUGGCAUAUCAACUUGGGAAUGCAAGAUCUCAGGCUUGGUGCUUGUGCUCUAGAAUCUAAUAUUGUGGAAUCCUCUUGGGUUUCUCACCUUCUGUUUCUGGAUGCUCUCCCAUGAUUGCCCCAAAUUUUUACUUUUUGUUCCCCUAUUUAUUUAUGAAUUGCAUUACUUCUUUUUCAUGUCUAGUUCAGGAUACAUUUCAUGACGUAUCCUUUAUGGGGAUCUUAUACUGUUUUCCAGUUUUCAAUUGGUGGGGAUCCUCUUUAUAGAGAUACCUGUAUUUGUAUUGUACCUUGCUAUUGUCCCUUUUGGUUCCUUUUUUGACAAUAUUAUCAUUCUAGAGUGACAAAUUUUCCAUGUUGUCAAUCAAAUAGCUCAAAUCAAAGUUUUAGUGGUGAUCUAGACGUAAUCAAGUCAUUGACUUGAUUGAAUAGUGACCUAUGUGUCGCAUCUUUCUUAUGACAGGCUGCGACAGCAAUGGUGCAACAAGCUAUGCAAUAUGUUGACCAGACACUUGAUCUUGAGACCAAGAUAGAGCUUAUUAAUACACAUAACUCUGUUGUCACUGGGAAGAUGAAUAUGUGAAGUCAAACUCUGGUGGAGCUUAUGUUCAUCAGCAAUCUGCUUUUAUUUCUUGAUUUCUGUAGCUAGUUUCGUAAUGCAGUUAUAUUUUGAAAUUGAGAGAGCAUGAUUGUUCAAGAAACUUGCAAAAAUAAAGGAAGAACAGGGUCUUCUAGAAGUACCAAUUUGAUGCAAGAAAUGGGGGUAACUAGAAGUUAACUUCUGUUCUCACUGAUCUUGUAAUUGGUUUUCCCUUGUCCUACAUUCCUAUGACAGUUUGAAAUGCAGGUAGGAACUUUUGGACCAAAGGCAAAGACGGAGAAAAUUGCCUUUAUUUUUGAACAAGUGCGGGAUUUUUGUAUUGCUUUUAGCCAUUCCUGCAUUAUUACUAUGAUUGGUUUUUCUGAUCGAUGGAUUUUGCAGGUUUAUCUGUGCAAGGGUUAUGUCUGUGCACGUAUCAUUUCUAGGAAGAUCAACUCCCGAGUGUUUGAUGCAAAUCCUUCCAUAGUAAAGAAAAAGUCUAAAGAAGGUGAAAACAUCGUGGAACGAGCGUCAGCUGAUAUUCCAUCUCUUCUGGAGUUGAAACAGAUAUGCAAUGACUCAUGAUAUGGUAAAUUGGUGUUUUGCUUUUCGAAUGUUGUGUCCACUAUCUUUGACUAAUUUGUUUUUGCUGAUCAAGUGCCACCUGGUAUUCAGGUUGUGGUUCACCAUGUACUUGUAUGGCUUUAUAUAUCUGGCACAUACUCUUCUUUCUUUCUAGCUGUAUCACAAACUAUGACGUUCUAGAUUUACUUGAUGGAUUUAAACUCCCAUCUCAGUUUACCUCACAUUUAUGUAGAUAACAAUGUAGGUAUUACUCACAUAACAAUGAUUGCCUUGAGAUUUGUCGAUACCAUAAGGGGAUAUAUGAGAUUCCAUCAGUAAAAGGCAACCCAGAGCAGUGGAUAUGGGUGAAGCUCUUUCCUUGUUAAGUCUUCACUGAGUUUUUUAAGCCAAAGCUGUUCAUACUGUGAUUUAAUUAAAUGCAGGUUUAAGGAAAAUCUGCUGGUACUUAGUUUUAUCACCACAUGAUCCUAUGCAAUCAAGCCUUCUUAAUGCAACUCUAGAAGAUAAACAUCUCUCAGGAAUUCCCCAAUUCAGGUACCAUCUUUAAAUUGUGCUAGGUAAUUGAUUGUUGAUCUUGCAAUAUCUCAAUAAUGUGCCAUAGGAUUUGGUCAACCAUACCUUUGAUAUUUUAAUGUAGGUUGCUGCUGAAACAAUUGGUCACGUUGGAGGCUCACAGACUCCUCUUUAAAAGAACUUUCAAAUGUGAAUUUGAGAAUGAGAAAACGUGCUAGCAGGUGUACUUGUUGGGAAUUAGAUAAGGCCCAAUCAUAGUCAAAAGAAGAAUUUUGGCUUCUCCUUGGCAAGACAAGCUACCUUUCUAGGAGCCUCUUCAGAGAAUCAUUGAACAUGUAAUUACAGAACUUGUUGUUUUUCUUCUUUUCAUUGGAUCAUCACUCAGAUGUGACUCAGUCCGUUUUCUGCAAAAUAUUAUCAUCGUUUUGAAGUAUUGCUCAAGGAUUACCUUAAAGAGACUUGCAAACUUGUUAUCCUCAGUAUCCAGGUCUGAUUAUGUGGAACAUUUGUUGAUGUUCUUUAUCAGUGUCACUCUUUAUGAAUGAUUGCCUAGACCCCUCAUUUAACCCUAAGCAGCUUCUCUGCUUGUGAUCCCUAAUUGGGGCAUGGCUACUGGACUUGGAUAAAAGAGGUUUUGGUGCAUUGAAAGCCAAAGAUUUGUCAUGGAUUUGAGGAUGCUGUCUUCAUUGUUUUGUUUUGUAAACAUUCUGACCGACAUAUAUGUGAUCUUUUUUUUUGGCUUAGUCGGCUUCUGCUCAUAAAUUUGUUGUAGCUAUAAGCGUCAUUGUCUGGCAUUGUGAAACCAUUUCUUGUCCCAUUGAACCUGAAUCUUUAAUGCACUUUAGAAGCGUGGAAGGAGCUCUGCUAUAUUGCUAGAAAUAGCUGAAUCACUUGAAGAAGAUCUUUGUGUUUGGGUUCUCUUACUCUAUUGUUAAGAGCUUUAAUCAAUCACAUUAAAUUAACACCUAUCAUUUGACACAUAGACCAUAUAAUGAUAAUUAUACACGCCGGUAUGAUAUUCUAUUGUCUUCACCUCUUAUUUCUAUAUUACCUUUUUAGGAAGCUGAGAAGCAUCUCUCCUUAGCAGUUGUUGCCAAGUACCUGGUGGCAAUGGCAAAGAUAGACCAGCCAAUGAGAAUUGUCAGUUUCGAAACAGCACAGCAGCUAGAUUUUGAACUUGGGCGACAAAUUUGGAAAAGCUGCUUGACCUUGUUGAGAAAAGUUGCCACAAAAUCUCCAAGGAAACCACAGUUUAUGAGGCUGCUUUGAGAGCUUGAAUUGGUUGAAUGAAUGAUCUCUCUUGUCUCGAGGCUUCCUACAUCCUUUCCCCACUCUCCCUCACCGAAAAAUGCUGUUUCACAUUGUGGUGGGGACUGGAGAUAUUCAUCAUAGAACUUUCGCCGUAGCUGUCUCAAAUUUGAUUGCAUAUUUUGUGGGGGGACCAGAUCCCAGCCUUGUUUCGGACUGAAAUGAUGUACUGAAUACACUUUCUCUAUAGAAAUGGAGUUUGGUCUUUUCAUCUUUCCUAUUUCCUCUUUUCUCCCUCCUUUUAAUUGAAGAUUUGCGGGCUUUCAGGGUCCAGAAAAUGUACCAAUGGAACAGGUAUCAGCACAAGAUGUGCGCUCAUUUGGACUGAAAUAGCGCCACGUUACAGAAUUGUGUUUCGCAUUACAAAUAUUGUUGUUGCUUGUAUUUUUUCUAACACCGGGGAUAACUCUGCAGAUUAAAGGCUUAAUUAAUGCUACUUUUUCAUUUCAUUUCAUAUUCAAAAUGAGCACCUGUUUCUAGGGGGCUUCAUUUCAAUAAUAUAUCUGCACUUUUUAUUUCCUCAAGGGACGUUAUUUUUCUGCAAGUUGAUACCUGUUAGGGAUGGACCUUGUUCCCUAAAAUUCCAGCUCCUUCAUUUGCUUCGUGGAAACUGAAAAAUUGGGAAAAGCUACGGCUACAUCUUUUGGCUGUGGAAAUAGUUAUGCCCACUAGUAAAUGGCACCAAUUUGUUGGUGAAAAGCACCAUUCUACUUUAUUCACAUAGUAAAUGUGCAAAAACACAGGCAAAGGAGAGAGAUCAACACAGCUGGAUUUAUGGCGCUCUCAACCCCCAAAAUUCGCCAGGUUCUUUCAAGCUCCUAGGGUAUAAGUUCGUAGUUUCGAUGUCCCUUCAAGUUCUCGAUGAACUGUUUAUGUGUUGAGUUCGAUCCUAAGAAGAUUCACUUCGUUUCUCCAAUCACUACGCAUUUGACUCUUCAGCUCAUUAGUCAUUCCAAUGCCGGGAUUUUUUCAUUACUGCGAUGAAGAUUUUGUUUUGGCAAGUGAUGUUCUAAAUUGACAUUCCAGUAUGCAAAUUUUUGUUUGCUGUUGCUUUCUUUUUCCUUUUUUUUUUUCCUUUGAUAAUCUUGGUCUUCAUGAUAUCAGAACUGCGAAAAGAGCCGAGUUUCAAAAUUUCAAAGGAGAACCAUAUAUAUGUUUCCAAAAAACACAUGAACUAUAUUACAAGUUUGAGCAAGGUUAUCUGUAUGUAUCAUAUUGCUGGAAUGGUGAGAAGAAGCCUUUUAACGAGUUCAUUCACUUUAUGAUGAGUAGCAACAUCUCACAGUCUAUCUAUAGUCCACCGGUAUCUAGUAGAAAUAAUGACCCUCAUGUAUUAUGCACUUACACAACAAGCUUACGGCAAUGCACAUGAACAGGUCUAGCAGUGUGACACCGAGAAAUGAAGCAUCACUUGCAGGUGGUGGUGGAGAUGUGGUGUUGCCGAUGGUUGUGUCUAGUAGUGACAGAGAUCUCGCUAGACUAGAGGUUGGGCCGAUGGAAGUUUCAUUGAUGGUGACAACCAAUUUUUGGCCGCGAGAGCAAUGGUUGCCAUGACGAAAGGUGUAAAUUCAAGCAAUACUCGCCAACUGCAGCGACAGAAAAGGCCGCCUGUCCGUUGCUUAAGGUGGUGAAUGGAGAAGCGGUGUUGCAGUUAUCGCUGUCAUCCUUUGACACGUAUGUGACAUUGCAGUUGUUGUUGUUGUCGGAACCUGUAUUGAACACUGUCAAAAUAUGAAGGAAAAGGCAAAGCGAGAAGAAGAAGGAUAGGGAUUUCAAUGUAUUUCUAUGACUUUUAUUCAAUGUACAGAGUUACAAUAUAUAUUACAGAGUAUGUGUAAAAGAAAAGGAAAUGAUACAAUGUACAGAUUAGAUCUGAUUUUAAUUGAUUCAAUAAAAUCCCUAUGAUUUGAUCUAAUCGAAUCUUUCCAAACUUUCUGCGUAUCUUCCAACAAACACUACAAAAAUGAAGGAAGAUCAUCCGGCAUUGAAGAGUGAAGCUCAAGAUUGAUUGCAGUUACAAGUAAUCAAGAACGGACUAGUCAAAGCAAAGUCCUUAAACACUAUGAUAAGCGGGUAUCUGAUUCCUACUCGAAGAACGCCAAAAUCAGAAGGCGCGUUGGGUCACCCACUCAAAGGACAUGGUGGUGUUGGAAUGGAUCCUUCUUCCUCUGAUUAUUUGCACUUAGCUAUUUUGGCUGGGCUUGUGUUAUAAUUUCAGGUCGAGGUUGCCCCUCAAAUGUCCAUUCUUUGUCGAGGGGGUGGUUUUCGAGCGCAAACAUAGGUGGGAAGCAAAUGUUGUGAACAACACACAUGGACUGUAUAGUGAGUCAUUAGCUUUGUUGCCUCAACUGAGUGUAAUACUUUCUUGAGUGGUUGAUGAUGACUGAGAUUGCGAUCGAAAACGAAGGAAGCCUGUGCUUGUUGUUCAUUCCCUUUUAAAAUGAUGCAUUGACAACUGUCUUUUGAGGGGAGUGAAAUUACUCAGACUCUAGGAUGUUGCCCAAACAGAUUGUGGGAUGGGAGUGGGAAUGAACGCAACGCCACAAUGCUCAAACCAAUUAUGUUGGAAGAUAUGAUUUAACAAAUCAUAUCAAAUUGUAAAUUGAUAUGUAAUAUUGUCUAUCUUAGGUUUAGAAAGAUAGGGGAUAAUUAUUUUCCUUUAUUAUUUCUUUCUUUGUAAUUAAAUACAAUGUAUUGUGCACAGAUUACAUUCAAUAGAGAGAAUACAACUUUUCUCCUAUUUCUUCUUUCGCAUACUUUCCUUUGAUCUUCUAACAUGGUAUCAGAGCUUCUGACGAUUCUGGCAUAGCUUUUGCUUCCAUCUUGAUUGCCUUGAGGAACUGUAACCUGCAAAACAGUUACCGAAAGGAAUCAACUCCUUUCAAUUUUUUCUUUGCUACAAUGAACAAAUCAGAAGCCCUCACCUCCAAAUCAGAUGACCAGCCAGCAAGAGAUGCAACGCCACAGACUACCCACAAUCCAGAUUCAACUGUCGUGACAACUAUGGCUGAACAACAACUCAGUCAAGGCUAGAACCAGCCUCAACACGUGCAAUGGCAAACUUUUCCGGCUCAGUUCAAUCUGGGGCAGCCCUUCUUGGGCCAUCCUUACCAGUGGAUGCCGUAUCCAUGGAUCCAUGGGACAAACCCAUAUACAUCACAGACGAGCUACCAAAGCAGCAUGUGGACCGACGGAGGCCCACCAACCAACAAUGGGGCAGGCUCUACCUUCUGCCCAGAGCAAACGGGCGGAUCAGGUGAAUCGGGGGGAACGAAUCCUUACCCAAAUUUUUUCAAAGCGAAUCGAGGAAACGGGUCAAAUACUCCGAAUGUAGGGGCGAAUACCUACCCGACUUCACCUGGUUUCUUUCCAUAUCCGAUCCUUGCUGCCGGAGGACGGUCGGAGCCCGGCGACCCUCUUUACACGACGAACGUCGACAGACCAGAACUGAAACUCAUCAGUCAUCAAUUAACUGGUCUAGACGAUUACGCGACUUGGUCAUGGGAGCUCCGGUGUGCCAUGGUAACAAAGGAUAAAGAGGGUUUUCUCGACGAAACAAUUUCGGUUCUGACCGACGAGCGAAUGGCUCAAUUUUGGAAAAAAUGUAACCAACUCGUCAGAACUUGGAUCGAGAAUUGUAUCACAGCCGAAGUGGCAGCAGAGCUUCCCCCGAUAGAAGAUACGAAAGAGAUGUGGGAUAACAUUAAGGAAAUGUAUGGAAAGCUAGAUCAAAUCAAGAUCUUUUCCAUUACACAGCAAAUUUCGGAUCUAAACANNNNNNNNNNNNNNNNNNNNNNNNNNNNNNNNNNNNNNNNNNNNNNNNNNNNNNNNNNNNNNNNNNNNNNNNNNNNNNNNNNNNNNNNNNNNNNNNNNNNAAUGAGAUGGAAUCAGCUGAAGAAAAAUUCAACUGGCCCGAACCCAUUCUACAACAGUACAAGAUCAUGCGCGAAAGAGAGAAGGCGAUUAGGUUUCUCCUAAUCUUAAAUGAGACACACCUUUCAUUUCGAUCUCAGAUCCUGACCAUGGAUCCGAUCCCAAACCUUGGCCGGAUCUAUCAGCUUGCCGUCUAAGAGGAGAGCCAACAGAAGACGGCGAUCUACGGAAAGGGGAGCGAGGUGAUGGCUCUGGCUGCAAGAGGCCAUUUUCGCUCUCCACAAAGGAACCUAGGAGUUGGAGGACGAAAGGGGGUGAAUGUGGGGUUGAGAAACCCUAGCCCUAAUUUCAUUGAGCAAAUGGACGACUCCAAUUUUGUUGAACAAUCGGACGGCUCCCAUAUUUUUUCGACAGGGCCCUUCUCAGACGGCCCACGGAGCGGCUUCGCUGGAGCAGAUGGGCCGCGUGGAAUCAAUGGGCAGCGAGCAAAUGUUUAUGGACUAGAUAGUGCACGCGGAUUUCAGCCCACUGGAUUAGAAGGGUCAUAUGGGCCUACUUCGGCCCAAGCUUUUCAGCCCGGCAACAGAUUUCAUUCAACUGCAAAAAACAAUGGUCAAAAAGGAAGAGGUAAAUUAUAUUGUGACUAUUGUAAACAUCUGCACCAUACAAUUGACAAUUGUUGGAAAUUACAUGGGAAACCUGGAGAAAAAGAAAAAGGGAAAUCUUCACAAGUUUUUCAGGUGUCGGGUUAGCCAACAGAAAGAUCGAUUAUCUAUGAGCAGUGUCAGGAAUUGAUGGGAGCUUUAAAAAGGUUGGAUGCCUCUGAUAAAGCUGGGAGUUUCACAGGUACAUCUUAUUGCUUGAUGAAUUCAAUUUCAAAGAAUGCAUGGAUUAUAGAUUCAGGUGCUAGUGAUCACAUUGUCUAUGAUAAGGGCUUCCUUUCCAAAAUCAAAAUAUUAUCUUUUCCUAUAUCGGUGCAACUUCCAAAUGGAAAUUCCACACAAGUUGCCAUGAUCGGCACUAUGAAUCUUAGUCCCCUAAUUACACUUCGAAAUGUGCUAUAUGUGCCUGACUUCCAAUUCAACCUCAUAUCAGUUAAUCGAGCUUCUAAAGAAAAGUCAUGCCAUGUCCUGUUCACUCUCGAUAAUUGUCUCUUUCAGGCCUUUUCGACUGGCAAACUGAUGGGCUUGGGUAAAGCUUAUCAAGGACUCUAUUUUUGGAUGGAUUUUCCCAGCAGUUCCAAAUUGUCCUCUAUUGAAUUCAAUAAAUCAUUGUGUAACCAUGUUAUCAAUGACAAAAAUUUUCUUUAUCAUAAAAGAUUGGGACAUAGUGCUAAAUUUCCUUGUCCUUAGUGUCCUAUAUGUCCUUUGGCAAAACAGACACGUGCUCCUUUCCCAAAUAGUAGUUCUAGAGUAGAUGGCAUUUUUUCAUUAAUCCAUGCUGAUGUUUGGGGACCCUACCAUACCGUGCAUCGCGAUGGAUCGCGAUAUUUCCUCACAAUUGUUGAUGAUUUUUCUCGUGCAACAUGGAUAUUUCUCAUGUAAUCCAAGAAUCAAGUCAUUUCCCAUCUAAGGACAUUUUUUUCCUUAUCCAAAAAUCAGUUUGGAAAAACAAUCCGUCGCAUUAGAACUGAUAAUGGAAGAGAGUUCUUCAAUGGUGAAUGUGCUUCUUUAUUUUCACUUAAUGGAAUCUUGCAUGAGAGUUCUUGCACUUAUACACCACCGUAAAAUGGUGUUGUUGAGAGGAAACAUCGUCACCUCUUAGAAGUAGCACGUGCUCUUAAGUUUCAAGCAUCUAUUCCUGAGAAUUUUUGGGGAGAUUAUGUGAUCACAGCAGCAUAUUUGAUUAAUCGCAUGCCAUCACGCAUUCUGCAAGGGAAGACACCAUUUGAGGUGUUGUAUGGAAGGAAACCCAAUCUAAAUCAUCUCAGAGUUUUUGGGUGUCUCUGUUAUGUAACUACAGUGGGACACAGGGAUAAGAUGGCACCACGUGCUAGUGAAUGUAUAUUCAUGGGGCAUCCCACCUUAAAAAAGGGAUAUCGGAUUUACACACCAUCCACAGGAGAAUUUCUCGUGAGCAGAGACGUUGUUUUCCAUGAGAAUAUUUUUCCCUUCCAAACUGUUGUUUCUUUAUCUGAAGAUGAAAAGACAGCCAAUUCAAGAUUCUUGUUGGAAGAAGAUUUACUUUCGGGAGGAACAUUUAUUGCUACUUCUCCACCAGGACCAACUGUUCAAUUGCUUACAUUGCCUGUUGAGACAUCUACAAGUCAUUCCAUUGAGGAACCUCAUAUAGAAGAACCAGCACAGUUCACAGAACUUCCAACACCAAGCCCUGUUAUAGAAGAGUCCUUCUCAUUACAACAAGAGCCUACACAGUGUUCUAAUCGAGUUGCACGGCCACCAGCUUGGACGAAGGAUUACAUAUGUGGUUCUUCCAGAUUAUCAAGUACUCGUUAUCCUCUCUCGUCUUAUAUCUCAUUCGAUAGGAUAUCACCAGAAUAUUUAUGUUGCAUGAGCCGUAUUUAUGAAGAACGAGAACCUUCUAGCUAUAAUGAGGCCAAAGACGAUCCUCGUUGGCAAAAGGCCAUGGAGGCUGAGUUACAUGCUUUGACAAAAAAUCAUACUUGGGAUGUUGUGCCAAUGCCUACUCAUCGAAAACCCAUGGGAUGUAAGUGGGUUUUCAAUAUCAAGUACAGGGCAGAUGGUUCUGUAGAGAGAUAUAAGGCGCGAUUGGUGACCAAAGGAUUCACACAGCGAGAAGGUUUUGACUACCAUGAAACUUUUUCGCCUGUUGCAAAAGAUGUCACGGUUCGAUCUUUCUUAUCAGUUGCUGCUUUUCGUGACUGGCCUUUGCAUCAAAUGGAUGUGCAUAAUGCUUUUUCACAUGGUGAUCUGGAUGAAGAAAUCUACAUGGAUCUUCCACCAGGAUUAUGAAGACAGGGGGAGUCUAAAGUAUGUCAUCUCCGUAAAUCUCUUUAUGGACUAAAGCAAGCCUCUCGACAAUGGUAUGCCAAGUUUACUAAUGCACUUAUGACCGCUGGAUUUAAGCAGUCCAAAUAUGACUAUGCUCUAUUCACAUGGACAAAAGGUAUGUCAUCUAUUUACUUGAUGAUUUAUGUUGAUGACAUACUUAUCAUGGAAAAUGAUGAUUCUGCUUUGAAGAAACUUAAAGCACAUCUACAUUCCACCUUCCAUAUCAAAGAUUUAGGGUCACCUAAAUAUUUUCUUGGAAUAGAGAUAGCUCGUUUAGAUCAGGGAAUCUCUCUCAGUCAGCGGAAAUUUAUAAUGGAAAUCAUAUCAGAAACAGGACUGUCAGGCUGUAGACCAGCCAUUAUUCCUACUGAGCAAAAUGCCAAGCUGACAUCUAUCGACUAUGAUACUGGCAUAUCUUCUCCUUCUGAUGAUCCGUUAUUAAAAGAUCCGUCGGGAUAUCAGAGACUUGUAGGGAAACUUAUAUAUCUCACUAUGACUAGGCUAGACAUCUGCUAUGCAGUGCAGACUCUUAGUAAAUUUUAUGCACAAUCCAAAGCAAUCUCACAUGAAUGCAGUCUUGAAGAUCGUGAGAUACUUAAAGACAUGUCCAGGCCUAGGGAUACUCCUCUCUCGAAAAUGCAACAUGGUCAUGACGGCUUACUGUGAUGCAGAUUAUGCCACAUGUCCUAUAAGUAGGAGAUCCAUUACCGGAUUCUGUAUCAAAUUUAGGGAAUCAUUACUUUCAUGGAAGACAAAGAAGCAGUCUACUGUAUCUCUAUCUUCAGCUGAAGUCGAGUAUCGAUCCAUGGCCAAGACUGUCUAUGAAAUAGUUUGGUUAAGGGGUUUACUUCAGGAUCUCGAGGCACGAGUUGAAGGAUUGACUACACUUUUUUGUGACAAUGAUUCAGCACUCAAACUUGCAGCAAAUCCUGUAUUGCAUGAGAGGACAAAACACAUAGAAGUUGAUUGUUACUUUACUUGAGAAAAGAUUCAAGAAGGAAUAGUCGAAACAAGAGGGAUCAUAACCUCAGAGCAACCAGCAGAUAUAUUCACUAAACCUCUUUACCAAAGAUAACAUGCAUAUCUUCUAAACAAGCUUGGAGUCUUGGACAUCUACAAGCCACCAGCUUGAGGGGAAGUAUUGGAAGAUAUGAUUUAACAAAUCAUAUCAAAUUGUAAAUUGAUAUAUGUAAUAUUGUCUAUCUUAGGUUUAGAAAGAUAGGGGAUAAUUAUUUUCCUUUAUUGUUUCUUUCUUUGUAAUUAAAUACAAUGUAUUGUGCACAUAUUACAUUCAAUAGAGAGAAUACAACUUUUCUCCUAUUUCUUCUUUCGCAUACUUUCCUUUGAUCUUCUAACAAAUUAUAAUUGGAUUAGGAUGACGAUUUGAUCAUGGACUGCAAUCUUGCAAAUUCUUUAGUCUCUAUUCUAUACAAUUUCUUGAUCAUUCCAGCAACCGACCAUAAUAUUUCGACUUAUUGAUAUCUAUAAAAGUUCUGUAUUAUAACUAGAUUAGAACAUAUCGCAGUUCAGAUCACUUGUAUACCACUCCGGGCGAUAGAAUUGCUUAGAUUAGAACAUUGCUUAAUCUGAAUUACCACUUCGGGCGAUAGAAUUGAUUGCUUUAUGACGCUCUUGCUGGACCAAUAUCGCAGCUAAGAUCACUUCAGUGUGUUAGCUCAAAAUUUCUACAUGAAUAAAUGAUCCAUUAGCAACAACUCUCACGACGAGAAAAAAAUCAUCACCGCAUCACACGGAUCCCAUAUCUACACUAUGCGAAUUCCAUGAAUAACUCGCACGAUGUGAAAAAGGGCAUCAGGGGCAUCGGGAGUCUUUCUAAAAAAAUACAGAGAAGAACUGGGACUCAAAAGGACAUUUUUGGUUGAUGUCGUUUAGGAAUCAAUUGAGCUUUGUUUGUACCAAGCGUCUAACCCUCAAAAGCUAGAGAACUAUGUUACAGUGUGUAAUCUCAACGUCUACACAUAAACAUGUGCCCCGAAAUGCAAAAUGCAUUUGCGAUAGAGCAAACCAAUAGAAACACCUCUCAUGAAGAGAGAAGAUCAGUGCUGCGUCACACCAAUCCUAUGUAUGCUUUUCGCGAAUUCCAUUGACAAUCCCGCACAAGUAGCCAUGAGAAAAUGCGAUUUUGGAGGCCGAAGAUGGCGAGAACAAAACUUUUUGAUCAAGAUAAAGUGUCAAAUAUAGGUCGUAGUAGGAAAAUUUUCUCAAGCCAAAGAUUAGAAAAGUCAUUGAUCAAGUAGCAUCUCAUGUACUCCCAAACUUGCCCUUUUGAAUUGACGAAACAAUGCAUCGUGACAAGCAAAUCUUCUGAGAAACUGUAAAAAGAGGCCAAGCCACUCGAUGCAAUUCUAUGAUUCGAACAAUGAAAAAGAAUGAGAAUUUUUUGGAAAUUUUCAAAUUCAGAUUUCAUCAAUAUGGAUUGAGAUGUUGUUUAGAAGGAACUAUGUUUUGAGGAGGGAAUAUAGUAAUAGCAUCCGUCAGCUGACCAAUAUCAAUUGGAAAACCAAAUGUUGUGUUUACAUACAAGAUGGUAUGGAAAGCUUGCAACUUGUGCUAGCCAUUAGGAACCUAAGGAAAUUAGUCCUUCGAUUCUCGGACUUAAUAGGGUUGACACAUCUCCGACUGACUAAUGUCGAGAAUGGUUAUUGUUUUGAAAGGCUUCUUCUUGCUCUUUUGGCAUGAAAUUUCUUUUUCUCAUUUAAAUACCAAAAAUGACGUAGAUAGUAGUCUCGUACCAUAUUAAGAAGAAAAUAUAUCAAUUGGCUCAAAAUUCACUAAUAUAUUCGAUUUGUGAGAUUUAAAUUUCUAAUCCUAUUUAAUUUCUGAUUUUAUAUUGAUCAAGUAAGCUUUCGUUUCUCACCUUUACUCUAAAUUUCCAACCACCCUUUAGAUCUCCGUCCACAUGCAAAGUCAAAUCAAGUGUAAAAUCCGAAUGGUUUUCGAUGGCUGCGACUCGCCGGUCACCUUGGAGGAAAAGAAAAGAAAGGAAAUCUCAUCUUCAUUACAAAGAUGGCCAGCCCAGCCCACGUAAUUCUCAGGCUCCAUGGGCCGUUUGGCGAAUUUUUGGGCUGGAAUCUCUAUCGGCUGUUGGAUCUUUUCCAAGGACCAGCACGACCCAAUCCGAUCCGGAUUCGAUUCGCUUCUUUUUCGGAUCCCCCGAUUUCCUCUCCAUUUUCAUCCAUUUUCAUUUUUAUUCCCAUGUGCUCUUUUAUUUAUUUAUAUAUUUAUUUUUUGCUCUUUUAUUUAUUUAUUAAUUUAAUUUACUCUCGCAUCAAUGCGUUUAAAGAGAAGGAGGAGAGAGGAGAGGGAGAAACAGACGAGUGGAAGUUUUCGCGAGUGAGGGGUUCACAGAGCGCUCUUUCUCUCUCUCCUCUUUCUUCCCCUUUCUCCAAGGGCUCCGAAUCGAUCGUCGUCGGAGACUCUCGCCGAUUCCUCGAGCGCGCCCUUCCGAUUUCUAGGAGCCGAUUGAGAUGGUGAGUUCGCGUCCCCGCUUUUAGAUCUGCAGCGAGUAAUUGGCUGCUCGAUUGCCGGCUCACCUGAUAGUCCUAGGUGAGGUGGGUGGCAUUGGGCAACUAAAUAAGGGGGUCCUUAGUGUGUUUUCACCUGAACUUGGUGGUUUAGUACCAUGAGUACUGAAUGUGCGUGACAUUGUUGAGUUAGCGGAUGCGCUACAUUGUAAAUGAUUUUCUUUCUGACCAAAAAAAAAUUUGAUUUUCUUUCAGGGUCGGACACCUUUUUUUUUCGCAUUAUCUAUUGAAUUUAACUUCUCACGGGUAACGAAUUAUUCAAGUUGGCGAGAUUUGGAAGAAUUGAUAAAAAGAUGUGCCUUUGGAACCCUUUUGUCGAAGCUUGGAGAUUAUUUCUGUGGAAGGAUUGAUAAAAAGAUGUCUUUUCAAAGUAUUAUUCAAGGAUUACCUUGAAGAGACUUGCAGAGCUGUUAUACCUCAGCCUUCAGGUUGAUUAUGUUGAACACUUGUUUAUAUUCUUCAUCAGUGUCAAUCUUUAUGAAUGAUUGCGUAGAGCCCUCAUUUAACACUGAGCAGCCUCUCUGCCUGUGAUCCCUGUGGGGCAUGGUUGCUGGACUUGGAUACAAGUCCCAAAAAAAGUGGAAAAGAAGUUUUGGUGCCUUGAAAGUGGCUUGUCAUGAGGUUGAGAAUGUUGUCUUUGUAGUUUCAUUUUGUAAACAUUUCUUACCAAUAUAUAUGUGUGGACUUCACUUUGUCAACUUCUGCUCAUGAAAUUUGUAGCUGUAAGUGUCAUUGUCUGGCGUUUUGAAACCAUUUCUUGUCCCAUGGAGCCUAAAAUUCCAAUGCCCUUUAGAAGGGUGGGAGGAGUUUUGCUAUCACUCACCAUUUCCUGUGUUACCAAAGUAUAUCUUGUGAUUAGAGCUUUCUUAUUGUGUUCUGAAAAUCUAUGUAGCUGAAUCACUCAAGGAAAAGAGCUCUGUUUUUGGGUUCUGUUACAACUGUUGUAGAGAGCUUUGAUUGUUCUAUGUUACCAUUUUAGGAAUCUUAAAAUCAUCUCUCCAAAAUGGUUGUUUCCAAGUCCCUAGUGGCACAGAUAGACCGGCCGAUGGGAGUUGUCUAUUUCCAGAUGACAAAGGACAGCAAUAUCAUCUUGAAUUUGUGGGCGACAAAUUUAGAAAAGCUCCUCAAUCUUGUUGAAAAAAGUUGCCACCAAAUCUACAAGGAAACGUUGGUUCAUAAGGCUGCUUUGAGAGCUUGAUAAUGUUCUUAGUUGAAUGAAUGAUCUCUCUCCCCUUGAGCGUCCCUCGAUCUCUCACCAAAAGAGAAGCGGAAUAAUGAUGUUUCACAUUGUGGACUGAAGUGGGACUGAAGAUGUUUAUCAUAUCUCUCGUGCAGCUGGCUUUAAUUUGAUUGCUUAUUUUGCAGGGGGGCCAGAGCUGGGCCUUGUCUGGACUGAAAUGAUACAAUGAGUACACUUUCUGCAUAGGAAUUAGGAAUUUAUGUUGGUCUUUUCUUCUUUCCUCUUCAUCCCUCCUUUUCAUUGAAGAUUUUUGAGCUCUCAGGGUCCAGAACUUGUGCCAUUGGAAUUAGUAUCAGCACAAGAUGUGCACUCAAUGCAACAGAAUGAGCAUGUUAAAAUCUGUUUGGCAUUACAAAUUUUGCUGGUGCUUAUAUUUUUUUUAACGUUGGGGAUAACACUAGCUCUCCAUAGAAAAGGCGAAUGGAUGUUAUUUUUUUAUAUCAUUUCACAUUUGAAUUUCAUCUUCAGCAGAGAGAGCGUGUUUCUUUUGGACCCAACCUUGGCCAUUGGCGGUUCUAAAAACCUGUUUCUGGGGAGCUUCAUUCAAUUAGGUAACUGCAUUUUUUAUCUCCUCAAGAGAGACAUAGUUUCUCUCCAAGUUGAUGUUUUGAUGUCAUUUCCAUAAGACACUCCGUUUUGAUGUCAUUUCUAUAUAUAGUUUCUGUCACUGAAAUGUGUUUGAUUCCGACUGGUUUUGACAUCUCUUUGAACUCUUGGCACGUGUGUGUAAUACAAUGAGAAGCUUUGAAAUAUUGAGGAUAAUGUGUUUCUUCGACGAUCAUAAAAUUUCAGAUUUGAGGGGAGUUUUCUUUACAUAGUCUCUUCCCAUUUUCAAUUUACUAUAGGUGCUUCUAAGUGGCAACAUGGGAUUAUUUCUUUGUCUAAUUUGUUUUUGCUUUUAUCUUUUGACACCAUCGCAUAUUUCCUAUUAAUCUCGGCAUUUGAUUGAUUUCAUUGGUCAAUUAUUGUCUAAAAUCCCUUUUCUUUACCGAAGAAGAUGUAAAGGUUUUGAAUAUUGUGUCAUAGAGUGAAAUGGGAAAAAAGUGACUCCUAUGGGGACCACUGGGUAGUUCUUUAACUUUAUUCGUUUCAUGGAACAUGUUUGGAUGGAACUAGAAAAAAUAUGAUCCACUCCUUAAGUUUUCUAUUACACUUGUAUUUAUGCAGAUCUCCGAGUCCAGUAAAAUAUCAGAGGAAUGGCACACUCUCAUGGAAGGAUGAGAAGCAACCUGAGUGAAAAACCCUUCGUCUCUACCCUCUGAAAGCUUAUUACUUCAUUAAUAUCAUUAUGUAGAGCUUUCGAUACUUCAUCUCUUUUCAUUUUUUGCAAGUGUACAAAAAAGCUCGUGUCAAGUACGACAGUCCAAAGUUUACAUCAACGCAAAUAAUAUAGAAGAAAUAGAGCGAUUAUUUAUAAGUUGCUCACGAACGUUGUGUUGAAUGCAUUUUCCAAUUUUGCGCUUGAUUGAUAGAAGAAUAGUUCCUAGUAGUAAAUCUCUAAUCAAGUUGAAUCCGAGAAAUUCCAUUCAUGUGGUUUCAACUAAUAUUGUAGAUCAAUUUAUAGGUCUCAAAAUCGUAAGUUGGAGUUAAAGUGGACCGUAAAAUGUAUCGUAGGAAUUUGGAAAGUACUCAGCAAGAUGGGCACUCAUUCGUACUGAAAUAAGCGCCUCAUCACUAAAUUCUGUUUUACAUUAUGAAUUUUGAUGGCGCUUGUGAGGCUAAUGAAUGCUAUUUGUCAUUUCCCUUCAAGGGAGAACGUUUCUCUUGAAGUCGAUACUUCAAUAGGGAAGUGGCCUUUGUUCUCUGGAGUUCUAUCUCCUCCAUUCUUCGUCACGGAAGCUGAAAAAUACGGGGAAGAGGAAAUGAUUGGGGCAAUCCUUGGUCUAUUUCCGCAAUAGGCAGUCUACAUACGUGGGGAGUUUUGUUUGUUCAUAGAGAAGAAACUGUGGGCACAUCUUUAGCUUUAGCUAUAGAAGUAAUAAUGCACAAUAAAUAACGAGUACCUUCCCAACAAAAUGGAUUUAUUUAUCUUUUUAUUGAAGAAUGCCACCGUGAGAUUUGCUUAGCAAUCAGCAUAAGUCGGACGAAGAAUAUUAGUGAGUUUCCAUACUUUUUCCCGUUGUUCAUGUAAUCAAUGAUUUGAAAAUUACAUCAAAUAUCAUAAGAUACACUUAAAGUCAUUCGUGCAGUCAAUAAAUAUUUUGGUCAUAAUUGGAAGAUCUCUUUUUGUCAUGUACUUAGAAAACUAAUUAAAAUAGCUUCUAUAAAGCAUAGAAAACAUUUUGUUUGGCAAAAGGAGAUAUUCAAAAUUUUCAAAACAUUUUGUUUGACCAAAUUUAGCAUAAGAAAAGGUUUAUUAUAUUCAUUACGAUAAGGACCAAUUAAUGAUAAAAUCAAAAUUUUCAUUGAUCAAAAAAAGCAAUUGUCGAAACCGAUCAAUUCUAGUAAAAAAAUCUAUUAAACUCUUUUCAAAAUGAACUAGCAGAUCAUAUACUUGACAAAGAAGACCUCGUCGAUUAUAGUUGACAAUUUUUGGCAAAUUGGAGUUGUACCAUUUUUGAAAACGCUGAUUGGUUUUCCUCUUUUUGCUGUUUUCUUAACAAAACCUUGAAUCCCAUCUUCUUCGUUUUUUUGUACAAUUCUUUCGUUUUCAUUUUUUUUUCUUUUUUUAUCUGCCAUCCUAAGUGUAAUCAUUUAAAUCGUGGACAUUUCGACAACGGCAACGUGGUGAGAAGAAGAGAUAAAUUUUGAAAAAAAUAAUAAUAAUAAUUGAAAAGUUAUCAUUCUUGUUUCUCAGCUUUAAGCCAAUCGUUCCUCUUUUCUAUGCUCGUGAAGGAGGACUCUUGUUCUUUGCCCAGUCGUUGCAGCUUUCCGUUAAAGCUCGAGGUUUUUGCGCCAUUUCAAAGACUGGAGUGUUGUCAUCAACUCAUACCCCCAUCACCAUCUUCUGCAGCUCGAGGUUUCUGAAUGUGGAGUGAUUUCCUUGUUCGUGGAUUAAAAAACGUUGUGGCUGAGACGGUAAGUGCCGGCUAGAGGAAAAGCACUCGUCCCUACAGAUCUGAGCAUCGCAAUGCCAAAGGAAACAUAAUGCUCGGAUAUGUAAUGUGCGACUUCUUUACCUCGAAACAUUCUCUCAGUACCUUGUUUUGGAUAAUCGACGAGGGUUGAGUCGAAUCGCUUGUACAUUUGUUAUUCCAGCGCCUAGAUCGGGUUCGGCAUGGAAGUAUUCGAUCAGCAUCGGGUGUGGGUGGACCUCAGAGGAUAUCGACUUUGAAGUGAAGAUGGGUGAAAGGAUCGCACAGCUGAUCAUUGAGAAGGUCGUGAUUCCCGAUGUUGCUUCGGAGGUCGAGGACCUGGACUUGACUCUGAGAGGUGAGGGCGGGUUUGGGUCGACCAGGUGUAAGGCCCAUGUGCUGGGUUUCGGUUGCAACUUUGUUCUCUGUAAGUUUGUUUUCACUGGGGAUGAGGUUGUGCCUGGGAUGCACGCAGGUGUGGUAGGAGCAUUUUCUUGGUGAGAAAUUUUGUCGAACAAUUGGUGGAUAAAUAUUUGCUAAUGGCUAUGUGUUCAGCCGCGCUUUUGAAGUAACUCCUUGUGCUUAGCCUGUCUCUGUUUAAUUGUGAAAUAUGGAUCCCGCUUUUCAAGUUGGCAGUUUGUUGGGGUGAGCCUUGCAGCAAGUAAUUAGCUAGUUGAUUGCUGGCUUACGUAUUAGUCCUAGAUAAUGGUAUUGGGCAACUAAAUAAGGGGAUUCUCAGUGUUUUUACAUGAACUUCUUGGUUUAGUACCAUAAUUAUUGAAUUUGUGUGACAGAGUUGAUUUGGCGGAUGCACUAUCUCGCAGAUGAUUUUUUUAAGGGUCUGACACCAUGACCUAUUGACUGUUAACUUUCUGCAGGUAAUAAAUUAUCCAAGUUGGCGAGAUUUGGAAGAAUUGCUUAGAAGACGUGCUUUGGAACUCUUUAUUGAAUGAAGGUUGGGGUUUAUAUUCCUGUGGAAGUUUAAUGGUGCUCAUGUGUAAACAAAGAAUUGGUAAUAAGCAAAAUGUUAACCUUGAGAUAUACUUUCUGGCAGGGUGCUUGUAUUUGCUUAUGAAGUGAAAUUAAUUGAUAACAGUGAGUAUUCAGCACCCAAGUAGUACAAAGUGAGUUUCCAGCAGUUAGCGUCGUCACUUUCUCAAAAAGAAAUAAAAGGAGGUGAUAGCAAACUCAACAGGUAGAAGUUGUUGAAAGAUUACUUGGUAACUUAAAGGAAGCAUUUAACUAAAAUUAGUUAUCAAUAAGUAUCUCCCCCAAUCUAUGAAGUCAAUGUCAGAUCGUGUGAUGUUGCAUCCUAUCAGGAACACUAAUUGGAAGUUCUCAUUAACAAAGAACGAAAAUAACUUUUUCAGCUGAGUAGGAAAAUAAUGCACAAAGCUAUGUGGAUAAGCUGGACAUUGUGGUACUAUCUAGUAGGGAGGUACUAGCAAAAUACUUUGAUGUACUUUUACAAGAUGGCCCUCCCUUUGGAAGUAAACGUGUGAGUGAGGAUUGAAAAAUAGAGAUCCUUAGUCUGCGAUGACAGAGAAAAGGCAUAUUGUUUAAGUUAAGUAGAUUUAUUCUGUUUUAUCAUCUUUUCAGGGUUUAGUGAAGUCAGCAAUCGGUGAUCCACUUUGUUUUUAUUCUGGUCAGUAGAUUUGUUUUAGGAUUUGAGUUCUCUUGUGUAGGGAUAUAUUGUUUUUGCUUUAGAUGGAAAGGUUUUUCCUUGGUGCCUUACUUAUUAUACCUUUUACACGACAAAGAAAUCAGGGAGAAAAGAAAUUGAGAUUGGGUGCCAAACGAGUGAUUCAAAAUACUAAUCAACUAAAGAUGAACAGUAAGUACGAGUUGUACCUCUCGAUUGCAAUAAGGGUUUGCUGUGGAGUUUCUCCCUUGCAUGAACAUAGCAUGUGUUAGGUUUGAUAGUGGCGAAAGGAAUAUUAAACAAGCAGGAGCCAAGAUUAUUGCGUUCAGUCAUCUACCUAAUUCUUGGGGCAUGAAUUUUUGUCUACCCAGCUCGAAGCACUCUUUGCCUUCCUCGUCAAGUGAUUGAGUCAAAAUUAUUUGAUGACGCUGAUACUUGGAUAUUCAUACUUGUUAAGUCAUUUUUCCUGUUAUAUAGUUGCUUCCAAACUUUAUUGUACCAAAUGAGUAUCUUACAUUCCUUUGUUAUGAGUGAAUUGGAUCAUCAAGAUUAACCAAUGUCCAGGUAUUUGCCUUUUCAUCUCUGCUUUUGGGUGAUAAGCUAGUGGAAUUUUCACUCUUCAUUGAUUGUAUUUCAUUGAUAUGCUAUGCUGAAUGCUGAUAAGUUCCUCUAGAUUAGUUUAGAGCAUUAUGACAGGUGGCUAUUUAUUAUUCCUAACCAGAUUUUUGCCUUCACAAUUGUUAUUAGGAUUGCUACCUAUCUAGGAGGCAAUUAGAAAGAUGCAAGUUGAUCACAUCGACAAUCAUUCCCAGUUUAGAUUAGGAGUAACAUCAUUGGAGAUGUAGAAUGGGAUUCCUAAUCCCAGUCCCAAAUAUCCUACUUUGCCUAUUUAAUUGGGACUCAACCUCAUAGUAAAUCAAAUUAGGGGCCACUUCUCAUCAUGCAUGACCAACGGUAUGUCUGAAACAAUACAUAAACGCCGAACCUGCUAAUUGGGGCUGACUUUGGGGUUUGAACUAUAAGGGGAUUAUAAAUGAAAUUGAGGUGCUGGUCUUGUCCUGAAUUAAAUUUACUUGGUGGUUGUAGCAAGGCUGAAGAUACUUAUUAUACAGACUUGAGAGAGUUCAUAUGCUUUCACAUGGAUUAAGAAUAACCUUUAAUUGCUGGAGUUGGAAGUGAGCUAUUGCUGGAGUUGGAAGUGAGCUCUACUUCUAUGAGAGCUUGGGUUGGGGUAUAUGGGAGGUCUGCUGUGCCUCCACAACCAACAGUGCAGCACAAUGCCGUCACCUUUGUACAACAACCAUCUCUUCUUGCUAAGAACGGAAUUCUUUUUUACUUCAUAGCAUAGAGCUCUUUACCUUGUCUAUUUCUUUCACCCUUCUCUCUUCUUCUUUUCAAUGUCAUCAUCUGGUUUUGCUUUCAUGUUGUUUUCUUCUUUACUUUCGCCAUCGUCAACAGUGCAGAGUCUUAUGAUUAUUGAUCCGAAGUGUGGUCCAGUUUCAAUCAUUUGGGAUUGAUCUUAAUAACAAUUACCUUAGGGGUUUUAUUUAUAAGGACUUAUAUUGCAGCAUUGCCUCCCAUUUGUGCACUGAUUAGACCUUAUACUAUCAUUUUGUGCAGUCGUAACAUGCCAUCAUACAUGACUAUUUGAAAAAUGAAUCUCAUUGGCAUAUCAAUANNNNNNNNNNNNNNNNNNNNNNNNNNNNNNNNNNNNNNNNNNNNNNNNNNNNNNNNNNNNNNNNNNNNNNNNNNNNNNNNNNNNNNNNNNNNNNNNNNNNCGCUCAUGCUAUUUGCAAGUUUUUUCAUUUGGCUGGGAUCCUCGUCAUUGUAUUUCUAUUGCACCUUGCUAUUACCCCUUUUAGUUGCUUUUUUCUCUCUAUUUUUUUUUUCUAGAAUGAAUAAUUUUUCUUGCUGUUAAUCAGAUAGUUUAACUGAAAGUUUUAAUUUUGCGCGGGACAUAAUCAAGUAAUGAAUUAAUUGGAUGGUGACAUACGCAUUGCUAUCUACUUAUAAACAGGCUAUUGCAGCAAUGGAGAAGCAGGCUAUGCGAUAUAUUGACCAGACACCUGAUCUUGAGAUCAAGAUUGAGCUUAUUAAGACACUUAACUCUGUUUCUGCUGAGAAGGUGAAAAUGGGAAAUCAAACUCUAUUGUGGGCUACGUUCGUGAGCAAUCUGUUUUGGUUUCAUGGUUUCUAUAGCUAGUGUCAUUAUGCAGCUAUUUGUGGAAAUUGAGAGAGCACGGUUGCUAAAGAAACUUGCAAACAGUAAAGGAAGAACAGGGUCUUGUAGCAUAUGCUGCUGAUUUGAUACAAGAAAUUGCAGAAACUAGAAGUCGACUUCUGUGGUCACUCAUUUGGUAAUUGGUUUUUCCUUGUCCAACAUCAUGAGUGGUUUGAAUUGCAGUGGAAAAUUUUGGAGCAGUGGAAAAUAUGGAGAAAAUUGCCUUUAUCCUUGAACGAUAUGGGAUGUUUAUCUUGCUUUUAGCCAUUUAUGCUCUAUUACUAUGAUUGGUUUUCGUUGAUGGAUUUUGCAGGUUUUUUGUGCUUAGAUCGCCAAGACUAUGUCUGAGCAUAGAUCCAGACAAUUAGCCCCCAGUGUUUGAUGCAGAUCCUUCCAAAGAGUAGAAAAAGCCCAAAGCAGGGGAAAUUAUUGUGGAAAAAGCGCCAGCUGAUAUUCCGUCACUUCUGGAGUUGAAAUGGAUAUAAUAUGAACAUAAUAUGAACCCAUGAUAUGGUGAAUUGGUGCUUUACUUAUUCUAAUGUUGUGUCUAUAAUUUUUUAACUAAAGUUUUUUCACCAAUCAAGCGCUACCCAGUAUUCAGGUUGUGGUUCAAGCCAUGGCUUUAUUCAUCUAUCGCAUUCUCUUUUUCCUUUAUAUCUUUAUUGCAAACUCUAAUGUUAGAGAUGUACUUAAUGGAUUUGAACACACAUCUUGCCUCGCAUUCAUGUGGUAAGCAUGUAGUAUUACCCACAUUACAAUGGUUACCUUGAAAAUUUGCCAUUGCUAUAUGGCGAUAUAUGAGAUUCCAUCAGUAAAGGGGAAACCUGGAGCAGUGGAUACCAGCGAAGCUCUUCCAUAUGAGGCUUUGUCAAGUCUUCACUGAUUUUUUUAAGGCACGGGUUUUCAUUCCAUGAUUUAAUUAGUUGCAGGUUCUAAGGAAAAUCUACUGGUACUUAAUUCGGUUACCACAUGAUCAUAUGCAGUCAAGCCCUCUUAAUGCCACUUCAGAAGAUAAAGAUCUCUCAGAAAUUCUCCAAUUCAGGUACAUCUUUGAAUUGUUUCUAGGUAUUUGGUUGUACUUUUUCUUGCAAUAUCUCGAUAUUCUACCAAAGAAUUUGGUUGGCUGUGCCUUUGUUAUUUUAACACAAGUUGCAGCCGAAACAAUUGUUCACAAUGGAGGUUAUCCAAUUUACCGCUCUUUGGAGUACUUUUAGAGAUGAAAUUGAGAAUGAGAAAAAACAUGCUUGAAGGCACACUUGUUGAGAAGGCAGCAGAAGAUCUUAGACAGAGAAUGAGCUGACAUGUAACUAUAGAACUUCGUCGUUUUUUCUUGUUUUCUUUGGAUCAUCAUUGAGAUGUGACUCUAUUAUCUGUAGAAUAUCAAUGUCGUUUUGAAGUAUUACUCAAGGAUUGCCUUGAAGAAACUUGCAUAGCUGUUAUGCCUUAGCAUCUAGGUUGAUUAUGUUGAACAUUUUUUUUAUAUUCUUUAUCAAUAUCAAUCUUUAUGACUGAUUACCUAGACCCCUCAUUUAACCCUUAGCAGCCUCUCUACCCCAGAUACCUUCACGGUAUGGUUGCUGGACUUGGAUGCAAGUUCCAAAAAAAUGGAAAAGAGGUUUUGGUGCCUUGAAAGCCAAGGCUUCUCUUGAGGUUGAGAAUGUUGUCCUUGUAGUUAUUCCAUGAACAUUUUAGACUGAUAUAUAUGUGCACACUAUGCUUAGUCAACUUCUUCUCAUAAAAUUUGUUGUAGCUAUAAGUGUCAAUAUCUAGCAUUGUGAAACCAUUUCUUGUCCAGGGAGCCUGAAAUUCUAAUGAUUCACCAUUUCCAGUGUUACGAAAGUAUAUCUCAAGAUUAGAGCUUUCUUAAUGUGCUCAUAAAAUCUACAUAGCUUAAUCACUCGAUUAAAGGGACUCUAUUUUUGAGGUUCUAUUACUGCUGUUGUAGAGAGCUUUAAUCAUUAACAUGUCUCAAUCUAUUAAAUCAACACAUCACCUACUAGAGAGACUGCGUAAUAGUAAUUAUAUAAGCCUGUAUGAUACUCCAUCAGCAUGACCUGUUAGUUCUAUGACCAUUUUAGAAAGCUAAGAAGCAUCUCUCCAAAAUGUUAUUUUCCAAGUCUCUGGUGGGAAAGACAGACCUGGUGAUUUGGAGUUGUUUGUUUCCGGACGACUAACGAAAGCAAUGUAUCUUGAAUUGAGGCUACAGAUUUGGAAAAGCUCCUUGAUCUUGUUGAGGAAAGCUGCCACCAUAUUCGCAAGCAAACUAUGGCUCAUAAGGUUGCUUUAAGAGUUUAAAGAUGUUCUUAGUUGAAUGUAUGAUCUCUCUCCCUUGAGCCUCCCUCUCUCUUACCAAAAGAGAGAAGCUGAAGAAUGCCGUUUCUCGUUGUCCUCUGAAGUCUGAAGUGGGGACUAAAGAUAUCAUAAACUCACAAGUCUGAAGUGGGGACUAAAGAUAUCAUAAACUCACAAGUCUGAAGUGGGGACUAAAGAUUUCAUAAACUCACGUGUAGCUGUCUUAAAUUUAAUUGCAUAUUUUGCAGGUGGACCAGAUCUGGGCCUUGUCUUGGGCUGAAAUGAAACACUGAAUACACUUUCUGCAUUGGAAUGUAUUUCAAUUGUUUCAUCUUUCCUCUUCCUCAUUCCUUUUAAGUGAAGAUUUUGGGCUCUUAAGGUUCAAAACUUGUAACAAUGGAGUUGGUAUUGGCACAAGAUGUGCGCUCAUUCUAUCAAAAAUGAGGUGUUGUUACAAAGUUCUGUUUUGCAUUACAAAUUUUACAGGUGCUUGUGUCUUACUAACAUCCUUAGUAAUAUCGGGGAUAACAUUAGCUCGUCAGAAUCACCUCGCAUUCAAGAUGGAUUUAAUGUAAGGCGGUAACUAAAUUAGUUGUUGAUUGUAAGAUCGUCGUAAUCGUCUAACUUAUUCAUGUAAGGACAAACAAAACCUAUCGUAUUUAUUAUCAAUCGAUUGUCAGUUGCCUCAAUAAUGUAAUAUACAUAUACUAGAUUCUAUGGUCAUUAUUGAUAUGUCAAAUGUCUGAGUAUCUUGUAGCUCCAUUCAAAUUGGGAUACAGAGGCUCACCCAAUUCUAGUCUUCCGUGAAAUGUGUGCAUCUAAUUUUUUCAAUUGACCUUACUCUGAGCAUCAGCAUUGCCCGUUGGUUUUCUUUUUGAGUUUUUCAUAUACUUAGAAAAGUAAGUCAAGUCAAGAUAUGAUUAGAUGAUGAAGAAAUUACGCCUGCAAUUAUUGCCCUUUACAAGGUGUAUUUUCUAAUUGUUUUUAUGAAUAGAAAAAGCAACUCAAAUCGAAGUCAAGUCGUGCUCACUUUCAAACGAAAAGGCCUGCGUAGGCGCUACGCUUUUUGCUGCGCAAUGCCGUGGAAGUUACGCAUGUAAUAGUCGCCCUUUUCGUGCAGCAUGCAUCGCCACGGUUCGAUUAGUUCAACAGUCUAUUAACGUUAAAUUUUAAUGUUCUUACUUGUGUGGUUAAUCACUCUCAUACUAAGCCGUUGAGCUUUUUUUCCUAUAUUAUCUUAUCAUUUCAGGGUUUGAUUAAUACCGUGCAAAGGAAAAAUGCGCUUUGGUGGAGAAGCUGUUGGCUGAAAAUGCCAACGUGAAAUAUAAAGCUAAACAACAAAUGAAAUAAAAAGUUAACGGAUAUUCACAAAAUAAUUAUUCAACGGUGUAGAGAACCUGUUGGUCAUGAAUUUCUAAAUGUGAUACCGAACAUAUAAACUUGCAAUUGCCAUCACUCAGGAGGAGCCAACUGAGUCCAUGAGAAGGAAAAAAUAUGUCAACCGAAUUAUCUCAUGUAAGUAAUGAGAUUGAUUUAACAUAAUCCCACAGCUCAAUAAGUUGUUGAUUAUACAAACAAAAUCGUCGUAAUUUUCUAACUUGCCCAAAUAAAAACGAACAAAACCUCCCAUGUUUAUUAUCUAUCGAUUAUUAGUUACCUCGAUAAUUUUCGUAUAUUAUAAAUCCUUCAAUCAUUAUUGAUAUAUUAAAUGUUUGGAUAUGCUUAUAGCUACAUUCAAAUCCAGUCUUUCGUAGAAUGUGUGCACUAAUUUUCGGCCAACCUUACUCCGAGCAUCAGCAUUGCCCGUUGGUUUUCUUUUCAAUAUUUUCAUUUAUCUAGAAAAGCAAGUCAAGUCAAGAAGCACAUGGAUAGGUAGGUUCAACGCACCUUCCCUGUAAUGCAGGGCAAAUUACGUUUGCAAUGAUUGUCCUUUGCUUUUUAUUUUCUAAUUAUUUUAUUAAGAGAAAGAGCAAGUCAAGUCGAAGUCGCGCUUGCUUUCGAAAAAAGGCACCUGCGUAGGCUCUGUGCCCCUUCCGCACAAUGCGGUGGAAAUUAUGCGUGCAAUAAUCGCCCUUUUCGUGGAACACACAUUGCAAUCGCAAUGGUACGAUUAGUUGAAGAUUCUUAGACCGUUGGGUGGCAAGAACUUAGCAUUGUCCAAGCACACGCCGUAGAAUGUCGUGAUGUCAUUUCUCUCUAAACUUUGUCAUCUUUUUUUUUUCUUUGCAUCAAUGUUGAUUUUAUUCAUCUUAUGAAAAUACUUAGGUGCACAUCUCUGUUUUAUAUCAUAUCAACACUCGAUUACGGUAAUACAUCGUAAAGUCAUAAAAAAAAUUAUUUUACAUUAUAUUCUUGUCCUUAAUUAUUAUGAUGUGUCAUAAGUAAUGUUAUAGUAAAGAUGUACCAUUUAUUCCUAUAUCUUUCAUACUUUGCAACAAUCUAAUGGCUUGGAACACAACAAUUUUAUUAUGCUCAAUUUGACGGUUAACACCGAGAAAGUUUUGAUUGAACAACUAACAAAAUAAAUCAGAAAUGGAUGAUAAGGGAUAUGGCAUGAUCGACGUGUGCCUUCCCCAUAGGUUUUAGAGGCCCUAGAAUCGGUAUUUCUCUUUCUUUUUUCUAAAUUUGUGUUCACGUGCAUCACGACUCCGAUGGCAUGAAAAGAAAAGCAAUCAACAGCAUGACUUUCAGUGCACAAUAGUUCCUUAUUUUUUGGUAAAAAAAAAAUCUUAUUAAUCUCAACCGUUAAAAAAGUAAAGUUGACAUGAGAUCCACAUAAUUGGAUCUUGCAAAUGAGUACUCAAGAGCACUGUUUACUUAUAUACAAUACAAGAAUCUUUUUUAUUUUUGGUAUACUAAUUAGACAUAUUUAGUAUUAUCAUGCACGCUCAUGCCUUUAGACUACAAGAAAAAUCAACGUCAUUCAUGGCUAAUUAUUUCCAAGUUGUCUUUGCUGUUACAGUUCCAGCACCACAAAAUUGCCUUAUGAUUUCUUCCUUGGGAAGGGUCCUUUCGUACACAGAGAAAAGAGCACUUUUUGUCCAAUAACACGGAAUUGCUAUAUACGGAAUUAGUCUCGCGGAUUCCGAAAGGAAAUUUUUUUUUCAUCUCUUUUUAUUUGGAAGUGUUCUCGAAAAUGAGACAAAAUAAUUUAUAUCCCUUUUGAGAAACAAUUAUCAGAUGGUGUGGAGAUCCCGUUGACUAAAAAUUUCUGAACGUGACACCAAUAUAUAAACCCACGAUUCCACCCACUUGGGAGGAGCUCACUAUAAUGACCUGUGAGUCCAUGAAAAGGAAAAAGAAAGUCGAUGGGAUCACCCCGUGUAUGUAAUGAGAUGGAAUUAACAUAAUGCUAUACAAGCAAAGUCUUCGUAAUCGUCUAACUAGCAAAACAUCUCACAUUUACUAACAAUCCAUUAUCAGUUACCUGGAUAAUGCAAUAUUCACAUACAAUAGAUUACGCGAUCAUUGUUGAUAUAUUAAAUGUCCGAAUAUGCUUGUAACUCCAUCCGAAUUGGGAUAAAAAGUCUUACCCAAUUCCAAUCUUCCAUAAAACGUGUGCAUAUAAUUUUGGAUAAAAGUUAUCAAAAACCCAAAACUUUACUUACCGUAAUAUAUUUACCAAAAACUUCUUUUAUGACAUAAAAAACUCAAAACUUGUAUCGAUGUAACACAUUUACCUCAAACUUAUACAGUGUGACACAUUUACUCCCAAAAAUUUAUAUAUGUAUAACAUAUUUAUCCCAAAAAUUUAGUGUCCUAAAAAAAACUAGGAUUUUUGGUAUUAUAAAAAAAAUUAAGGAUAAAUAUAUCACACAGAUAAAAGUUUCUGAUUUUUUGUAUCACAAAAAAAAAAUUGGGAUAAAAACGUUACAGUAAGCAAAAAUUUAGGAUUUUUUAUGUCAUUAAAAUAUUAUAUGAUAAAUGUGUCACUCUAAGCAAAAUUUGAGAUUUCUUGUAGUUAUUUUACAAUAAUCUUCAGCUCGCUGGUUUUCUUUUUAACUUUCCAUUUAUUUGGAGGAGCAAGUCGAGUCAAGGAGCACAUGCAUAGGUUGAAUGCACCUUCUGCAUAUUGCUGCGGCAAUUACCCCACAAUAAUUGCCCUUCGCUUUUAUUUUCUAAUUAUUUUAUUGAUAGAAAAAGCAAGUUAAGUCGAAGUCAAGUCGCGCUCGCUUUCUAACAAAACGCCUGCGUAGGCUCUACGCACCUUCCGCGUGGCAGUGGCUCAAUUAGUUGAAGAUUUUUGGACUGUGGGAUGGCAAGAACUUAGCAUCGUUCAAGCACGCACAGCAUUGUUGCGAUGUCAUUUUUUUCUAAACUUUUUAUCACUAGAAUGUGUUUGAUGUCGACUAGUGUGGACAUCAAUGUCUUUUGGCAUGUAUGUGGAUAAUAUGGUGAGAAGCUUGAAAUAUUGAUGAUGAUGUAUAUCUUCGACAACUCUUAUCAAAUUUCAUAUUUACUGGAAAUUCUCUUUACAUAGUCUCUUCCCAUUUUCAAAUUACUAUUGGUGCUUCCAAGUAGCAAUUUCAGAUUAUUUCUUUGUCUAAUUGUUUUCGCUUUUAUCUUUUGGCUAGCGAAGUAUAGAAACCAUCACAUAUUUCUUAUUAAUCUCAAUAUUUGAUUGAUUUCAUCAAACAUAUGCUGUUUGAAAUCCUUUUUCCUUAUGGAGGAAGAUAUGGAGGGUUUGAAUAUCAUGUCGCAUAAUGAAAUGGAAAAGAAUGACUCCUACGAAAACCAUAAAAUAAUUCUUGAACUUUAAUUCGUUUCAUGGAACCUAUUUGAAUGGAACCAUAAAAAUAUUAUUCACUUCUUAAGCUUUCGAUUAUGCUUUUAUGUAGAUCUCCAAGUCUAGUAAGUAUCAGAUGUAUGGCAAACCCUCAUGGAAGUAUGAGAAACAACUUAAUGGAAAGUCAUCAUCUCUUCUCCACUCGAAAGCUGAUUACAUCAUUGAUGUCGGUGUGCAGAGCUUUGGAUACUUCAUUUCUUUUCAAGUUUUGGAAACUAAGUAUACAAAAAGGCUCAUGUUGAAUAUGACAGUCCAAAAUUUACAUCAACCCAAAUAAUAUAAAAGAGAAUAUGAUAAUAUGAAUUAAUUGAUUAGGAAAAUUAUGUUUAAUCUGUUCUCCAAUUUUACACUUGAGUUGAUGGAAGAGUCAUAUCGAGAAAUAUAUUUCUAAUUAAGUCGAAUUUGAGAAAGCCCAUUCAUCAUCCGACUUACUAGCAAUAAGUGACUCUAUAUUUUGUUAUUAGGAUUGGUAGAUCAUCGCCAAGCCAGAGAAGAGAACACGUGGGUUCAACGACAUUGUAGAUUGAUUUGCAUGUCUCAUAGUCAUUAGUUGGAGUUAAAGUGGUCUAUAAAAUGCAUGUGUUGGAAUUCGAAAAGUACACUUGUAAGAUUGAACUUGGUGGAGACAAUGUCAAAGGCAUUCAUGAAAAAAAUUUGGGUUGAACAGACCAAAUUAAUUUAGAUAUGUGUAGUAUAAGUUUCAUCGUAUUGAUACAUUUCGGAAAUUGGUUAUUUGGAUCUUGAGGAGAAAUUUCAAUGGCAUCCACUUACUGCUCGACACCUAUAGAUGGACAUAAGCGAUCGCCAACACAUUUUCAAGGGUUUCCUUUUCCACAUUUUUUCAAAUUUCUGCACCUUUUUUUAAAAAAAAAAUCGGCCAAUGAACGAAAAAUAGGGGGGACAUUAGGAAUUCAAAGAUGUCAGCGUCGGUAUUUGGUGUCAAAUAUUUAUCUUAUUCAAUACUGCUUGAGUUUAGACAGUACACUAGUAGAUAAGUACUACACGACUCAUAUUGACAUGACACGAGUUAAAAGCCGUGAAGAUAUAAGCGAAACAUUAGCAAAGCUGACAAUAUUUUAUCUAGCAAGGCUCGGGUGGAGUUGCCUAGCACAACAAUGGAAGAACCAGGAUUGGGAUGUUGAGCAUCUAAUCGAUGUUGGCACUUGAUAUAACUCUUGUUUAUUGUUGAUACUACUAAUUAUCCAUCCAAUCAUAAUCCUAAAUAUGGACUAUGCAUUUCAGGCAUUCUGUACAUCUCCAAUUAAAGGAAUCUAUUUGGACCUUGUCAUAGGACAUGUGACUGUGAUUGUACAGUAUAACUUUGUGCAGCAAGGGUUUUCUGGUGUGUUGAAACUUCAAAUCACAUGAUCAUGUGAUACAAUGUUCCAUCAUAAUCUAUUAAUGUAUUAGCUUUUGAUCCUAGAAUAAUGAGGUGUGGUUAGUCAAUUGCGUACUAAGCCGUUGAGCCUUUCUGUUUCAUCUUAUCAAGGCAAGAGGAGAAUUUUUGUAGCUUUGAGUAAUGAAGUGAGUAUCUGCUCUUACCUUGGUAGGUUUUAUAAGCUAAGCUGGUUUUCAAAGUAGCAAAAAGAGCAAAAUAUAUACCUAUAAUAUACCAAGUGUCAAGGUAAUCACAAGAUGGUCUCGUGUUUAAUGCAGCCUCUAUCCAUUUAAUAGCUCAAUUUUUCAAAUCAUAUCUCCUAAUGUCAAAUAAGAUAAUAUUUGAAUCCUCUCUAUUGUGUUGCAAAAAAUUAUAAUUUGGUGAAGAACUCGUUGGCCAAGAAUGUUAAACAUGAAAUAAAAAAGUCUGACAAAAGAUGACAUAAAAAGGAAAAAAGCAUCACCGAAUAAUUAUUCAAUUGCUGAGAACCAUUGGCUGGUAAUUUAUUAACACUUCAUCGAAAAAAUAAAAUAUAUGUAAAAUGUUAAAAAAUAAUUACCUUAAGGAGAGAGAUAAAAGUGAGUCAGGCGGAGGGUAAUGACUAAUAAUCUUUAAACAUGAUGUAGCAUGGGAAAAUCUAGUCUUUCGUGGAAUGUGUGCACUAAUCUUCGGCCGACCUCACUCCGAGCAUCAGCAUUGCUCGUUGGUUUUCUUUUCAAUUCUUCAUUUACUUGGAAAAGCAAGUCAUGUCAAGGUGCAACUGCAUAGGUAGGUUCAACGCACCUUUCCCAUAAUGCUGCGGAAAUUACGCCUGCAAUGGUUGUCCUUUGCUUUUUAUUUUCUAGUUGUUUUAACAAUAGAAAAAUCAAUCAAGUUGAAGUCCUGCUUACUUGAGAUAAAAAGCGCCUGCAUAGGCUCUACGCCCCUUCCGCGCAAUGCCGUGGAAAUUAUGCAUGCAAUAAUUAUGCUUUUUGUGCAGCAUGCAUCGCAAUCGCAACGGUUCGAUUAGUUGAAGAUUCUUGGACGGUUGGAUGGCAAGAACUCAGCAUUGUUCAAGCACGCGCAGUGGAGAGCGUUGUGGUGUCAUUUCUCUAACUCGCUGUCGCCGGAUGUGUUCGAUGUUGACUAGUUUUGACAUUUCUCUCAACUUUUGGCAUGCGAGUAAUACAGUGAGAAGCUCGAAAUAUUGAGGAUGAUGUGUUUCUUCCACAGCUCUUAUCAAAUUUCAGAUUUGCCGGAACUUCUCAGUACAUGUUCUCUUCCCAUUUUCGAUUUACUAUUGGUGCUUCCAAGCGGCAACUUAAGAUGAUUUCUUUGUCCAAUUUGUUUUCGUUUUUAUCUUCUAGCUGGUGAAGCAUAGAAACCAUCACAUAUUUCUUAUGAAUCUCAACAUUUGAUUGACUUCAUCAAUCAUUUGUUGUUUGAAAUUCCUUUACCUUAUGGAGGAAGACGUGAAGGGUUUGAAUAGCUAUCAUAGAGUGAAAUGGGAAAAGAGUGACUCCUAUGAAAGCCAUCAUGUAAUUCUCAAACUUUGAUUCGUUUCAUGGAACAUGUUUGAAUGGAACAACAAAAAUAUGGUUCACUCAUUAAGUUUUCAAUUACGCUUUUAUGGAGAUUUCCAAGUCUAGUAAAUAUCAGAUGUAUCGUAGACCCUCGUGGAAAUAUGAGAAGCAACUUGAGUGAAAAUUCAUCAUCUCUUCUUCACUCCAAAAGGUGAUUACUUCAUUGAUAUCAAUGUGUAGAGUUUUGGAUACUCCAUUUCUUUUCAUGUUUUGCAAAUUAAGUGUACAAAAAGGCUUAUGUUGAAUAUGAUAGUCUGAAAUUUACAUAAACUCGAAUGAUAUAAAAGAGGAUAUGCACAAAUAUGAAUUAGUUGAUUAGGAACGCCAUGCGGGAUAUGUCUUCAAUUAUACACUUGUGUUGAUAGAAUGUUUGUACCUAUGAGUAAAGAAGUGAGUACAUGGUGUUAGGAGGUUUUAUAAGCUAAGCUGGUUGUCAAAACAGCAAAAGUAAGCUAAUAGUAUAUAGCUACAAUACACUAGGUGUGAACGUAAUCACUCCUUAGUGUCGUGUUUAAUGCAAUUCCUCUCCAUUUAAUAGCUUCAAUUUUUCAAAUCACAUCUUGUAAUGCUAAAUAAGUUGAUAUUGAAUCCUCCUCUAUUGUGCUACGAAAAAUUAUAUUUUGGUGAAGAACCCAUUGGCCGAGAAUGUUGACAUGAAAUUAAACGUCUGACAAAAGAUAACAUAAAAGGGAAAAAAAAGUAUCACUGAAUUAUUAUUCGACUACGGAGAAUUAUUGGCUGAGAAUUUAUUAACGUGACACUAGAAGAAUAAUUUUUUAUGUAAAAUGUUAAAAACUAUUAAUUUAAGGGGAGAGAUAAAAGUGGCUUGGGCAGAGGAUAUCCACUUGAUAAUUUUUAAGCAAAAAGUAGUAUGGAGAAAUACAGUUUAAGGAAAUUAUUUUGAAAAAGAUUUAUUUUGGAGUUACUUUCUAGACGAAUAAAAAAAGGUAAUGCGUCAUGCCGACUUUUAAUAACAAAAUCCUCUAUAACCCCCGAUUUAUAUGCUCUUGUCAUGGGCUCAUGUACAUUAGCAGCAUAUAAGAGAAUGAAAGCAAGUCAAGACAGUGAUGGAUCUCUCCAGUUCCAUUGAAAGCACGUAGAUAUGUUCCAAGUACCUUCCCCGUAAUAUGCUGAGAAUCGGUGGAGAUCACGGCAGAAGCAUGUGAGUAUUGCUCGUCGGUUCACUUUUCUACUUUUUCUUAGUUAUAUAAAAAGCAAGUCAAGUCAUGAUGCUGCCGAGGAUUGCGUGUCUCCAAGUCAUGAUGCUGCUUCGACCCACAAAACGAAGUCAUGAAGCUGCGGAAACUGCGCGUGCAAUGAUUGUUCUCUCUGUGGCAUGCCUCACAGCAUUUCGAUUGGCAUGAAGAGUCCUGGACCACUGGAUGGCAAGAACUCAGACAUCAUUUGAGCAUGCAUAUUAGAGAAUGUUGCGUAUUCGUAAUCCGACUUCAAAGGCUAAAAAUCGGUGGAGAUCCCAGGGUUCUGCUGUUUGAGCAUUCCUCUAGUAAUCAACGACGCCUUCUUCUUUUUCUGUUUUCUGUUCUGAUUGCUCCAUUAUCUUCUGAUGAUUUGUCUGAGAGUUUCUAUUUCUGUUUGAAUGUAGCUUCGUGUUUGGCCACUCUGAGACAUUUCUGCUAGUCCUAGAUCUGGGAUUUUGCAUCUCUCCCCUGUUUCCUCCUCUAUCAAUCUCUUUUACGAUCCUUUCAAGAUGGAAAGAAGAAAAUUCACACAUUCAGAAGAUUCGAUGUACGAGGUGUCUUCCUCGUCGACGACCCCACAUGUAGGUGAUUAUGAAGGCGGAACCAGAAGGUUGAAAGGAAAUGAUUACGAAGUGUUUUUGAGCUUUAGAGGGGAAGCCACUCGCAAAGGUUUCACUGAUUAUCUCUAUACUAGCCUUGUCGAGAAAGGAAUUCAUGUGUUUAGAGACGACAAUGAGCUUCGUGUUGGUGAGAAGAUUGGUCCGGAGCUUCUUUGCAGCAUUAUGCAGUCCACGAUUUUGAUCCUGAUUAUCUCCGAGAACUAUGCUUUUAGCAAAUGGUGUCUUCGCAAGCUGGCUCAAAUGUUGAAGUGCAAGAGAAGCAGAGGGCAAAUAGUGUGGCCCAUCUUUUACAAAGUGAAACCCUUGCAAGUGCGCCAUCUUAAAGGGAGAUUCGAAGAUGCUAUCAAAGCACAUAAAGAGAAUAGGAACGAAAUGGUUUUGAGGGAAUGGAAAAAAGUGCUCAAAGAAGUGAAGGAAUGGGAAGAAGCGCUCAAAGAAGUUGGUUCUUUGAAAGGAUGGGAAUCGGAGAACAUUGAUAAUGGGUACACUAUUCUUUACCAAAUCAUUGUUUAAUUUCUCAUAAAUAAAUCUUUCGUGAAAAAGAACAUAAAUGCGGUCGUCCUAUACUGAAAUUAAUUGUUAUUGCGGUAGGCAUGAAGGAGCAUUUGUUAAAACUAUUGUCACAAACGUUAUGGGCGAGUUAAAAAGACUUUUUCUGCUAAAUGUUCCCAAGCAGUUGGUGGGAAUUGAUGAUCGUAUCAAUGACAUUAUGAGCUCGAUAGAUGAUAAAUUAUAUGACACGAAUAUUAUUGGACUUUAUGGAAUGGGCGGCAUCGGUAAGACGACUCUUGGAAAGGUGUUAUACAAUAAGCUCUCUAGUCAUUUUGAGUAUCGUAGUUUUGUGGAAAAUAUUCGAGAAACAUAUCAGCGCCAUGGUAUUGAAUGCAUACUGAACAAACUCAUUUAUGAUGUAAUACGAAGUUCAGGUCAUGUGUCUAGUGUUGACGAGGGAAUAGGUGUAAUCAAAUCUCGAUUUACAAGUAAGAAAGUUUUAUUUCUACUUGAUGAUAUGGAUGAUAGUACUACUCACUUGAAUGCUUUGGUCAAAGACCGUAGUUGGCUUGGAGUAGGAAGUAUAGUCAUCAUUACAACCAAAAACAAGAGCAUUCUCGAUGAGGCUAAGGCAUGCUACAGAUACCCACUUAAUGAGUUGUCUAUGGAUCAACAAUUGAUUUUAUUUAGUAGACAUGCAUUUCAAAAAGAUUAUCCUCGGAGUGAUUAUGAGGUUCUUUCUCGUGAUGUCAUAUCUACUACCGGGGGGCUUCCAUUAGCUCUUGAAGUUACUGGUUCAUUCUUAUGUGGAAAGAGGAGAAGUAUGGAAAGAUACAUCAAAAAAAAAUUAGAAAAAAUACCUGAUAAGAAAGUGCAAGAGACAUUGAAGAUAAGUUACAAAGCAUUAGAACAUGAGGAAAAACAAAUAUUUUUGGAUAUUGCUUGCUUUUUCAUUGGAUCAUCAAAACAAAAUCCAACUUACAUGUGGGAUGCUUGUGGUUUAUUUCCGAAGAGGGGGAUUGAAGUGUUGAGUCUUAUGUCCCUAAUUAAAAUUAACGGAGGUGGUAAGCUAAUGAUGAUGAUCAAUUGAGAGAUCUUGGAAGGGAAAUUGUUUGUCUAGAAAAUCCAAAUGAGCCUCAAGAGCAUAGUAGAUUGUGGAUCUAUGAGGAAGCCCUAGAUGUGCUUGAUAACAAUGAGGUAAGAGUUUUCUUUACUUGUCUUAGUCGGUGAAUGUGGGUACAUCUUCCCUUUCUUGUUUGAAAUAAAAAUAACUGUCACUCUGAGUCCCCAAAACUUGUUGCAUCUACUAGCAAAGGAGCUCUUUUGAUUAAUUGCAGUAUUUGCCUGAUUCAAGAUCAUAAUUGAGAAGCAAUUUCUUGGUUAUGGACGAUUGUUAUAUAUCUUUACAUGGUAGUAUCGUGAUGAGGAUACUCUCCUUUUGGUAACUUCAAUGCAAAAACAAGACUACAAAAGCAUAAUGUGUGACAGCCUUUCUCAUACUCAACUCACAAGGAUCUUUAGAGAGAGAAACUCUAGAGAGAGAAGCUCUGGAUUGUAUUACUUGUGAAUGAGAUGAGUACAAUGAGGGGGAGGAGACUCUUAUAUAUACAAAUACAAGGCAAACCGUAUCCAUAGAUCUCUCCUCGAUCUAAUGAAGGAGAUUGGAUUUCCCCAACUACCAACUACCCGCAUUUAUUACAUACGAAUACAAUUACUGUAUCGCCCGCCCCCAAGAGUAUUCUAGAAGACUCGAGAAACCUUAGGACUCGGGGAUACAAGCCAAGGGUCGCUUGAUCCACGGAUGUGUCACAGCCAUCCCUUAGAACCCUCUUAGAUCGGCCUUCUUUCGAGCCAUGACAAUGACAUGAAGGAUUUCAUGACUUAGGCAAGUUUGGUUUCACGUACUUAGUAUGUCAUAAGUCCAUGACAAGAACCCACCUUCCCCAUUUUGGUUGUGUUUUAUUUAAUGAAUAAAGGCUGUUGUAAUUUCUUAUAUUGGUCAAUCACAUAAAGCCAUAUUUUAAUAAUUUGGUGUUGUCUGCUUGCUCCUAUUUGAAUUUUCCCCUUCUAGAAGGACUCAAAUGCAACACUUUUGAGUUUUGCCAUUUUGCACAAACCAACCCAAAUAUGCAAAAAAGGCAAAUUCCCUGUUCAUAUUGCCAAUCUAUAUGUAUACAAUAUUCCUGCAGUUAGAGGAAUGUAUUAUAAUCUGAGUUAGUUAGCAUAUAUUCAGAAUUUAAUCCUUAUUUGGGUAAACAGUCUUAUGCGAAGAAAGCAAGACCGCCCUAUAUUUCAUCCUUCCAUAUAUAUAUACUUUGAUUUUCCGAGAUAUUGCCUUAAUGCUUUACUUUGGAAGGAGGGGAAGAGGAGGAAAAUGAAGUAAAUUCUCGUAACUUUUGUGAGAAGAAGUGGGAGGAAAAUUCAAAAAAUUUCUAUCUUCCUUUCCUCCAUGUAUCCAAGCAAAGCAACUUUUCCUUUUAUAACGACGGUGCAUGCUUGCUAAAUAGACCACAAGCAUAGGGAAAUUUAUGCGUUGUUGCUAGCAUAGGGGUCAUCAUCAAUUGGAAUCAACUAAACUUUAAUUUCAUUCAUCAAAUGCAUGGAACUACAAUUUACUUCCUGUUGGGAUAAACGAAUUCCCUAAAACCAAUCCGAAACUCAAUCAAACCCCUAAAACAACGAAUGCGGAAGGCGAGCCCAGGAAGCACAUGUAUCACCGAUCAAAAAGUACAUUACAAAAUCGAACGUACCUUGUCUUUCACAAAUUAAACACCAAUGUUGAAGUUCGAGGAAGAAUCCCGAUCUUGUUCUACUGAGGAGUGUACUGUUCUUUCCAGGGGGAGAAAUUUCUGUUUGAGAGCAUACUGUUCUUUCGUUUGGGGAAGAGAGCGUCUUCUGAAAAUGUACGUACGUAAAAGUACGUUCUUUUUUUUUUUUCUAUCUCUUAAAAUGCCUCCAAAAGACGUAGCCUCUCAACGUAAAAUGACUCUUCCAAAAGACAUAAUCCCUCAAUGUAUCCUUUCAUAUCUCAACCCUUCCUCCAUGGGCCCUUAACUUGUGGGCCAGGUUUUUAGGCCCAACAUGGGCGGACGGGCCUUCUUAGGCCCAUCAACACAUAGAAAAAAGCCCAUCAUCUCUCACUCACACAUGGUGGCCGAACAUGAUCCUCUUUAUCUCUUUGCAACAUUCAUACUGAUGAAUAAUCUGUGCCACCAGCAUGCUUUGAGAGCUCGUUGCCAUACAUCUAUUAGGAAUAUAUAGCAGCUCAUAAUGGGCAUCACACUCUGAGUAGAUUUAGUAUGCAGUACCCUAGAUCGAUCGAUCACAUUUAUAUCUCUCUUGAUCUAUUUUAAACAUAUAUAUAUAUAUAUACACAUAUUGUAUUCACAAUUAUGAUUAUCUCUAAAACAAUCAUAAUUGGUCGACCAGUGAAUACAAAACUAGAAUGUGAUUCUCCAAAUUCGAUCUUCUUAUUUCCUUCAAACUCUCAAUUUCAGUUCAGCUUACUUUUCUAGAAAUGUCCCAUUAGAUCAAAUUAAUGCAUGAUCAUUGGCAACAUCCUAAGAUAGCAAAUACUAAAUAGAAGUCUUGAGAACAAGUAAGAGUUAUGAGAGAACUAAAUUGAUGAACUCUUUUCCUCAAGAGUCUCAUACGGUAUAAAAGUUGAGAUCAAACUUUUGCCACUCUUAUUGGUCGUCUCAUGUAUACGUAGUAUGAAAUACAUAUUACGGUAUUAACUCAUUUCCCAUGGAGUGUAUGUCUACACCAUUAAUACCGUACAGAUGAUAGUUCAGACAUACCUAAUGUCUAACUUGAGUUCACAUAUCUACUCAUUCACAUAAUUCAUCAAAACUCACAUCUGGCAUCAUAGACAGAUAAAGUAAAAUAUGUGGGUUAUUUUACUUUCGGACAUAGUAAAUAUUAUGUUCUCAUAUUAAUACUCAGUUAAUGUAACAUAUAUAUUUUAAACUUUAGCUCUCGAUUAUCACCUAGAUAAUAAGCUUAAAAACUGUCUUAUCUCUAUUUAUCACAUACCUAAUGUCUAACUUGAGUUCACAUAUCUACUCAUUCACAGAAUUCAUCAAAACUCACAUCUGGCAUCAUAGACAGAUAAAGUAAAAUAUGUGAGUUAUUUUACUUUUGGACAUAAUAAAUAUUAUGUUCUCAUCUUAAUACUCAGUUAAUGUAACAUAUAUAUUUUAAACUUUAGCUCUCGAUUAUCACAUAGAUAAUAAGCUUAAAAACCGUCUCAUCUUUAUUUAUCACAUAGUAAAUAAAAGGCGAUUACCCAUGUGAGUGGGCUAAUCUUUUAUAUGUCCGACAUACUUUCUUAACUUUAUAUAAUGCACUGAGCACUAAGAUGCAUAAAGGUCAAACAAAGAUUCAUAAGCAUUAAUAAUUAAAAACACAAAUUCAUUACAUGUGAACACUUCAGGGAAAUUACAAUAUUCAAUACAUCAGCCUCUACGGGUGCGUUUGGAUGGGCAUUUAGAAAGCCCAUUCAGCCCCCAAAGCCCUUUCAGCCAAAAUAAGGGUGUUUGGCAACCAAUCUCAAGGAGCUUUCAAAUGAAAGUCAAUCCUUGGAAAUGCUGAAAACAUUUUUUUUCUUCCUAAACUACCCUCAUUAAUUUUUCAUAUUUCCGUUAUUACCCCUGUAUUUAUUUAUUUUUUAAAUGAAAAAGGAGCAGCCCUUCGCCAGACCGGCGAAGGGCGACGGCCACUGGCGAGGGUCGGGCGACCUCCGGCGGCCCUCGGCUGCGCGACCCUCGCCGUAGGUCGCCCGACCUCGGGCGACCUCAGCCGACGGCCGCCAGCGGCCGCAGCCCUUUGCCGGUCUGGCGAAGGGUUUAGCUGAAUUUUCAAAAAAAUAAAAAUAAAAAUAAUACCCAUCAAAGCCCCUUGCGAAAGUUUUUUUUACCAAACGCAUAUUUAGCUCAAAGUCCAUUUGCAAAUUUUUUUUACCAAACACAACUGCAUUUUCCCCAAGUAACUUUAGGCUUUCAGCAUUUGCAUUGGACUCAAAGCCCAUUGCAAAUGCUGAACCAAACGCAGCCUAUGCAGUCCUAAAGAUUUUAGAUGACUACAAAACACAUCUCUAUGUAUUGGCUUUAUCAUAGGAUCUAUUACCAUUCCAUGCGUAGAUAUGUACUGUAAGUUUACAUCUUUUCGUGCAACCAUAUCUUUGACAAAAUUAUACUUUGUAUCUAUAUAUUUGGUCUUGCCGUGAUAUUUGGGAUAUUUGGUGUACGCUAUAGCUGCUUAGCUAUCACAGUUAACCAAUAAUGGAUUUGUAACAUACCUAAUAAUACCUAAAUGAUUCAAAAAUCUCUUAAGCUAGACAUAUUCUUGUACUGCUGCUGAUAAUGCCAUGAACUCAGCUUCCAUCGUGGACAAGGCUAUACACAUUUGUUUCUUACUGCUCCAAGAUAUGGCGCCAUUAUUCAGUAAGAAAGCAAAUCCAAAGGUAGAUUUCCUUUCAUAUAAAUCUCAUCCCCAAUCAGCAUAUGAAUAGCCUUCAAGUUACAGAUCAUUUCCUUAGUAGCUCAACGUAUAAUCAGCAGUUCCCUUCAGAUAGCUCAGUAUUCUUUCAACGGCUUUCCAAUGUGCUUGACCUAGAUUGGGUUGAUAUCUAUUCACUAUUCCAACUGCAAAACAUAUGUCAGGUCUUGUACACAUCAUAGCAUACAUUAAGCUUCUAACAACACUAGCAUAAGGAACAUGUUGCAUUUGUUCCUUCUCUUGUGGAGUCUUUGAACACAGUCUAUGGCUCAAUCCUUUACCUUUUGCAAUAGGAGUAUCUAUUGGUUUACAAUUUUGCACACGAAAUCGUUCAAGAACUUUAUUUAUGUAUGUUUCUUGCGAAAGAGAUAAUGACCUCAUUGAACGAUCUAUUGAAAUCUUAACUCCAAGAAUGUAUGCAGCCUUACCUAUAUCUUUCAUCUCAAAGUUGGAAGAUAACCAACUCUUGACAGUAUUAACAAACUCCAUAUUACUUCCGGCAAUUAAUAUAUCAUCAACAUAUAAUGAUAUGAUCACAAAUUGAUAUUUAGAUCUUUUGAUAUAUACACAAUGAUCCUCAUCAAUCAUUGUAAAAGCAUAUGCCAUUAUGGCAUUAUGAAAACGUAUAUAUCAUUGUCUCGACGACUGCUUAAGGCCAUAUAUCGAUCUCAAAAGUCGACAUACAUUUUCUUCUUAGCCUUCCAUAAUGAAACCAGUAGGUUAUUUCAUAUAUAUUUCUUUCUCUAAUUCUCCAUUGAGGAAAGCAGUCUUUACAUUCAUUUGAUAUAACUUAAGAUCCAUACUAACUACUAUUGCUAAAAUAAUGCAAAUCGAUAUAAAUCUCACUACAGGAGAAAAUGUUUUCUCAUAAUCAAUUCCUUCCUGUUGAUUGUACCCAUUUGCCACAAGACGAGCUUUAUAUCUUUCUAUUGAGCCAUCAGUUUUACGCUUUAUUUUGAAAACCCACUUGUUCCUAAUGGCUUUGCAUCCUUUUGGAAGAUCAACUAGUUCCCAAACAUGGUUUGACUUCAUUAACUCCAUCUCCUCUUCCAUUGCAUGCAUCCAUUUUCCCUUACUAAGGCAAUUUAAAACCUCAUUAACAUUUCUGGGCUCAUCUUCAUCUUGUGGAGCAACCAAAAAAGUUUCCCUUUCAAUGUCAAAACGUCGACGGGAAAUACUUUUGCGACUUGUUCGCUGUACGAGAGAUUGUACACUUUGCACAUCAUUCCCCAUUAUGCUCCCACUCGGAUUAGAUAAUGACGAUAUCAUCUCAUCAUGUGGUUGUAAUUGAGAGUGAGUUGAAUUAAAUUCAUCACUUCUUAUGUUACUCCCAUUGGACGAACUCCUCUAAAUUCAUUAUCUGGAUCCAAGGUUUCAAAUAGGGAGUAAUUAUCACAUAUUUCACCAUUCUUAGGAAAUUAAUUCUCUAAGAACGUGGCAUCACGUGAUUCGAAUUUAGUUAUACUUCCACUUUCCUGCUCACCUAUAAACACAUACCCUUUCGAGUGUUCAGAGUAUCUUAUGAAAAUACUCUUCUUUCAUCUGGGACCUAAGUUCCCAAACUUGUAAGAUGGCUCAUGAGUAGAGGCAACACAACCCCAUGGUUUAAGAAAACUUAAGUCCGGUUUUCUACCUGUUCAUAACUCAUAUAGAGUGAAAGUAACUGAUUUGGAAGACCCCUAGUUAAGUAUAUAGGCAACAGUUAAUAACACAUCACUCCAAAAAGUGAUAGGUAAGUUAGCACGUGCCAUCAUGGACCUAACCAUUUCUAGUAGGUUUUGUUCCUUCUCUUCAUAAUACCAUUUUAUUGAGAAGUAUAUGGAAUAGACAACUGUCAUUCUAUUCCUUUUUCAUCACAUAAUUUUCUGAACUCAUCAGAUAAAUAUUCUUGACCUCGAUUGGAUCUCAAUACUUUUAUUUUCUUGUCUACUUGAUUUUCUACCAAGUUCAUAAAUCUUUUGAAACAACUCAAUGCCUCAGAUUUAUGAGAAAUCAAGUAGACAUAUUCGAAUCGAAUAUAAUCAUCUAUAAAUGUGAUGAAAUAAACAGCUCCAUGUCUUCCUCUCAUAGUCAUUGGACUACAGACGUUAGAAUGGAUUAAAUACAAAGGAAAUUAAGCUCUUUUACCUUUUCCAAAUGGUUUCCUUGUCAUUUUCCCUACUAAGCAAUACUCACAUAUGGGCAAAUUUACAUUUUCAAUGUUGCCCAACAAGCCCUCUUUGGCUAGCCUAUUCAUACGUUGUUGGCCAAUAUGAUCAAGUCUAGCAUGCCACACAUUCACAUCAUUAUCAUAUAAAUUAGGAGACGUGAAAGGGAAUAACAAACUUUGAAAUUACCAUAGUCAACAUUUAAUACAAUAAAACCAUCUAGAAAAUAACCACAAUCAUAGUAAUUUGUAUCCAAAUACAAAUCCACACCAUUAUUAUGGAAGUUCAUAUUAAAACCAAGCUUAACUAACACUAAAACAGACACUAAAUUCCGACGAAUCUCCGAAGUAUACAAUACAUCAUGUAGGAACAAAGUGCGUCCACCACGCAUGUUCAAUUGACAGGUGUUAAUCCCUUUUACAUCGGCUCUGGAGUUAUUUCCUACAUAUAUCAACUUAGUUUCAGUUGAUACUUGUCAGAAUUCCAUGAAGGAUUUUCUAUCAUUCGCUACAUGGUCUGUUGUUCUUGAAUCUACAGUCCACAAAGGAUUAAACUUAGUUAAGAAUACAAAACCUGACACAUAAGCAAAGUUCUCAAAAGUACAAGGGGUGUAUACCUUCUUUGGCUCGCGACAGUCGCGAGCAUAGUGACCCUUCUUGUUACAAUUAUAACACUUCACCCUUGACAACUUUUUCAUUCGAGGACGAUUUCCUCUUUCAUGUUGGUCAACUUUUGGUUUCUUCCCUGAAGAACUUGCUCCCUUGCCUUUCCACCUAUUGAACCAAUCAAGAUGUUUGCACUUGGAGCUCGAAGCUCCAUGUGAGCUGGAACCAGCAUGAUAAAUUUCAGUUUCCGGUUUAGCUACCAAGAGGCGGUCAUCUUCCAACUCAAGAUGAUACAUUGCAUUCUCAAAGGUUUUGAUAUUCUUAUUGUGGGUCAGGUGCACCUUCAUAUGCUCCCAACUCUAAGGCAAUGAACGAAUCACUACUUGCACUUGCUGCUCGUUAGUCAGGAUAUGGCUAGCAUCUUUCAGCUCAUUAAUCAUGUUUGACAUCUUUCUUAGGUGUUGCUUCAUGGUUUGACCAUAAGACUUCUUGUAAGAGUCAAACCUAAUAGUGAGCUACCUCAGUCUGGUCAUCGAAGUAUGACUAAAUCUUGCUGCCAAUGCUUCCCACAUUUCCUUGGCAUUCUCAAAACGCCUGAACUCUCACAUGACAUCAUUCUCCAUGCUACUCAGCAAUGUAAUGCGAGCAAGGGAGUUCUUUCUCUUCCAUAAAGCAAAUGCAUCCUUAUCUCUCUUAUGUUGUGCAGUGUUUCCAUCUUCAGAUUCUUCCAUAGUCAAGUUAAGAGCUUCUAGUGCCUCUUGCUCUUCCAGCACAUAUUAGAUUUUCAUAUGCCAUAUUUCAUAGUUAUCGCCGUUAAGCUUCUCACCUUUGUUCAACUUAGCGACUAUGCUCUUUAUGGCUGAAGCCAUCGAUCUGAAUAUAUCAGACACAUAUGCACGAAUUAUUAAUGCCUAUCAUUUAUGCAUCCAUUUUGCACAAACCCAUCAUAUUAAUGAAUAAUUUCAAGUAACGUUUCAGAAUCAAAAUGUCACUAUGUUUUUAAUCAUCAUCUAAAAAUCCUGACUCAUAAUUAUUAUUAAUACAAUUUUCUAUGCAAAAUAAAUUCUUUGAAGCUACAAAAACUUCUAUGAACUACCCAUAACAGUUAAUAAUAAUAUAAGCAAAUGAUAUUGGACAUCCAAUAAAGAUAGAAUAAUAAUAUAUCCACAUAAUGCAACUAACAUAUUAGUUGCUACACCGACAUCAACUAGGUAGGAAAUAUUUACAUAAGAUGUCCAUAAAGCAUACUAAACAAAGACCACUUGAAACAUCUAACGCCAAGAUAACAUAUGAUUGGGAAAGAUUCUUUUUUGUUCAAUUUCUUGAGCUUUUCUUUUGUAAAUUCCUUAGGCAUUCUCGGCAGCCAUGGAGAAAUAGACGAAUAUCCCUUAGGAUUUCUCCUUCGCGCAUUCAUCCCCCACCAGAUCGAAGUCAUUCCUAGGGUCGUAGUCUUUGUGGCUUCAAUCCGAUAAUGUUCAUCUAUAAAAGCCAUUACAAGCCUCCUAUACUUAGUAGCUCGAUUGACCUCCCAUAGGCGAUUCAACACUCCUUGCCAUAUCGGUGGAAGAGUGUUCUUGAAGAAUCGCACCAUCUCAGAAUGUGGCAUGGUUCCAUAUGACCUCUUGUAUUUUCCCAUUAACCUCGAGAACAUCAACCUAGAAAGCCUUUCUUUUUGUUCAUCUGUAGUUGCGCGAAUAGGUGUGCAUGCCUUACGGGGAAGCAUUGUUCCUGCAACAAAUGUAGAACAAAAAGGGAUUACAUAUAAUCCACAUAGGCUUAAUUGAAAAAGAAACGCAUUCCUUUUGGGGGGGUCAACGGUCAACGGUCAGCGGUCAACGGUCAGCGGUCAACAGUCAACGGUCAACGGUCAUACUAAUUUACCCUUCCGUUUUAGCAUGCAGCAACGUUAUUCUGGUGUCUCGCUUGCUUCACCUUCCCAUUACAUUUCCCUGACGAUUCCAUUUAUUAAUGGAAAGCAAGUCAAGUCAAGUCGUGCUGGAUCUCAAAUUUCAAUCAAAGCACCUCCGUAGGUUGCACGCACUUUCCACAUAAUGCUGACGAAAUUAGGCAUGCAAUAACUCGACAUCCGUCAAGUGGCCACGAUAGAAAAAGAAAGGACUAGAAGCAUCUUUAUUGCAAGCUGGUUGUGCACAAUAGAAAAAGUAAGGACAAGGACUAGGAGCAUCUUUAUUGCAAGUUGGUUUUCUUUUUUGCUUUUUUGCCCAAAGAAAAAAAAAGAAAAAAGCAAGUCAAGUCAAGUCAAGUCAAGAAGCCAUUGCAAAGGUCCCCGCAACUUCUGCAUAAUCCUACAAAUAUUACGAGUGCAAUGACCAUCAUUCUUUAAGCACCUAGUAGUCAAGAAUUAGCAUUGUUCAAGAAUGCAUAAUAGAGAGUUUGUGUGUUUGUAAUCCAACAUCGACAGCUGACGAUCGGUGUAGAUCCCGACAGUGGCUAGGUCAUGUCAUUUGAGCACUCCUAAGGUAAUCGAUGGCUUCAUGUACUUCUCUAUUUCCCACUUUGAGUGCUCUAUUUUCUUCUGAUGAGUCAUCUAAGAGUUUCUAUUUUUGUUUGAAUGUAGCUCCGAGUUUGAGUCUUGGGAGACAUUUUUGCUAUUCUCAAAUUUUUUUUGGUUAGUUGCUACUCUCAAAUUUGGGAUUCCAUAUAUUCUCUCUAUUUCCUUCUCCAUCAAUCUCUUUUACAAUCCUCUCAAGAUGAAAAAAAAAGAACCCUUUAAUUCAAAAGAUCUUAUCUAUGAGGCGUCUUCCUCAUCGACCUCUCCACAUGGAGGUGAUUAUGAAGGUGGAACCAAAAGGCCUAAGGGAAAUGAUUAUGAAGUGUUUUUGAGUUUUAGAGGGGAAGACACUCGAAAAGGCUUCACCGAUCAUCUCUAUCAUAACCUUAACCAUGCAGGAAUUUGUGUGUUUAGAGACAAUAAUGAGCUCCGUGUUGGUGAGGAGAUUGGUUCGGAGCUUCUUUGCAGUAUUAUAAAGUCUAAGAUCUCGAUCCCAAUUAUUUCGGAGAACUACGCCUCAAGUAAAUGGUGCCUUCACGAGCUAGUUGAGAUGUUGAAGUGCAAGAGAAGUAAAGGGCAGAUAGUGUUGCCCAUAUUUUACAAAGUGGAACCCUCACAAGUGCGACGUCCUUUAAGGAGAUUGAGAGAUGCUAUCAAUGCACAUAAAAAGAUUAUGGAUGAAAUGGUUGUGAAGGAAUGGGAAGAAGCACUUAAAGAAGUUAGCUUCUUGAAAGGAUGGGAAUCGGAGAAAAUUGAUAACGGGUACCUUAUUCUCCAACAAAACAUUGUUUAAUCUUUCAUAAAUAGAUAUUUCUUGAAAAAGAAUAUACAUAUUGCUAUCCGAUAUUGAUAUUCAUUGUUACUUGACAGGCACGAAGGAACAUUAGUGGAUAUUGUUGUCAAAAAAGUUAUGGGCGAGUUAAAAAGGUUUUUUCAACUAAAUGUUCCCGAACAGUUGGUGGGAAUCAAUGAUCAUGUGCAACAGAUUAUGAGCGAGAUAGAUGCUGAAUUCAAUGGUACAAGGAUUAUUGGAAUUUAUGGAAUGGGCGGCAUUGGUAAGACAACUCUUGCAAAGGUGUUAUACAAUGAACUUUCUAGUCAAUUUCACUAUCGUAGCUUUGUGGCAAAUAUUCGAGAAACAUAUCAGCGUAAGGGUAUUGAGUGUGUACAAAAGCAACUCAUUUCUGCCAUAAUAGGAAGUUUGUGUGAGGUGUCUAAUGUCGAUGAAGGAAUCAAUGUCAUAAAAUCCCGAUUUACAAGUAAGAAAGUUCUUGUUCUUUUAGAUGAUAUGGAUGAUUGUACGCACUUGAGUGCUUUGGUCAGGGAUGGUAGUUGGUUUGAAGCGGGAAGUAUAGCCAUCGUCACAACUAGAAACAAAAGCAUUCUUGAUGAAGGUAGGGCGGGCUAUACGUACCAACUCAAAGAGUUGUCUUUUUAUCAAUCACUGAUUUUAUUUAGUAGACAUGCAUUUCGAAAGGAUUAUCCUCCAAGUGAUUAUGAGGUUAUCUCUCGUGAUGUCGUAUCUACUACUGGGGGGCUCCCAUUAGCUCUUGAAGUUAUAGGUUCGUUCUUAUGUAGAAAGAGAGAAUAUGUAUGGAAAGGUACAUUAAAAAAAUUAAAGAAAGUGCCCCAUGAGAAAGUGCAAGAGAAGUUGAAAAUAAGUUAUGAAGCAUUAGAUUAUAGGGAACAACAAAUAUUUUUGGAUAUAGCGUGCCUUUUCAUCGGAUCACAUAAACAAAAUCCAACCUAUAUGUGGGAUGCUUGUGAUUUUUUCCCCGGGAUGGGGAUUGAAGUAUUAACUCAUAUGUCCCUAAUUAAAAUUGACGAAGAUGGAGAGCUAUUGAUGCAUGAUCAAUUGAGAGAUCUUGGAAGGGAAAUUGUUUAUCUAGAAAAUCCAACGGAGCCUCAAGAGCGUAGCAGAUUGUGGAUCUGUGAGGAAGCCCUAGAUGUGCUUGACAAUUGCAAGGUAUGAGUCUUCUCUACUUUUCUUAGUCAGUGAAUGUGGGUCCAUCUUCCCUUUCUUGUUUGAAAUAAAAAUAAGUAUCAGUCUUGAGUCCCCAUAAAUUGCUGCUUCUCUAAGCAAAAGAGUUUUUUUGAUUAAUCAUUGUUUUUGCCUGAUUCUAGAAAUCUAUGGUAAAAAUGAGCAAAAUUUAGAUGACUAGUACUUCUUUGUAACAAAAUCAACACGAAAAUGAAAAUAUAGCAUCAAACAUCUGUAGCAAUAAAAAGAAUCACAUAUAGAAUGAUUGUAAUUAUCAAUUUUCCUUCCACGUAUAAUGAAAAACCCUCAUUGAAGGAACACAUGAUAAGAAAGGAACAUAAAACACACACGUAUCUUUUGCAAUGACAUUCUUGUUUUCAUUUUGAUAUUGACAAUUGCAAACAAAGUAAACCAAAAAAGUGAGGAAAUUCUACAAUUGGGAUUCUUUAAUUUUGAUACUUAUAUCGAUGGAUAAUUUGAUAGAUGCAUUUGGAUGGUUAGAGUUGUAUUGGUUCGCAUAUACAUGAUAGGAGUAAAGGAAGUGUUAUUUCACAUAUAAAGGGCAUGAAUUUUGAUAAAUAUAUUUGCAAAUUGGACUCAAAUUUUGGAAAUUCAGAAGGUGCAAAAUGCGAAUGGUAUAGGUGGAUGAGGAAAAAGUUUGGAGACAAUCACUUGAGCUUCUCAUCUUUACAUAUAUUAGAUAAAUAAUAUGCAACUACACCUUUUCAUUUCACAAAAAUGAAAGGUAGAAGCCUACGCCAUAGUAGUAUGACAGCAAAUCGAAAUCAAUGCAUAUUAUUUUAUUUCAAUUGGUCGCAUCUCAUCAUUCAAAACUUAUGGUCCACAAUGUUUCCAAGUUGCAGGGCACCAGAAAGAUUGAGGCCCUUUCUCUUGGCAAAUGUGGUGAGGGAAGAAGCUACACAGCCAAACAGUUUAAAAAAAUGACCAACCUGAGGUUCCUUCAAGUGGAUGGUGCUAGUUUCAUCGGAGAUUUCCAAAACUUACUUCCUGAGUUAAGAUGGCUUCAGUGGGAGGGCUGUCCCUCGGAUUUCGCUGCGGUCAACUUUCAUUCGAAGAAAUUAGUUGUACUCGAUUUGUCAUACAGUGCAAUUUCAAAGGACUGGGGAGGAUGGGUUCCACUCAAGGUAAGAUGUAAAGAAGGCAUUGAAGUAUUUUUUUAACUUAACAUUUUUUCCUUGUACAUAUAACAUUUGAAAAUUGAUUUUCAUAAUUAAACUAGCCGUUUUUGUUUAAUUUCAUAGUAUUGAAGGAAAACAUGGUGCCCGAUGAUUGCAUCUCUCUUUCAUUUGGAUUUGUCAUGUGCUUAUUUGAUAAUAUAAGUUGCUUAUGUCUAAUAAGCAAAUAUCUCCUUUGAAAUGUUAUUCGGAAAUAAAUGCAGUUAGCACUUGUACACCCUAACAUUCUUUUGCAAUCAAUAUGUUUAAAGACAUUUAUCUAUCGCCAUGACCAAACACUACUAAAAGAGACAUUUAAAAUUAAAUAGGACCAUUGUGAAGGUAUAGAGGAGCACGGGUAAUUUUUGAGGAAUUCUAAAAGGUCGAAAACAUAAGGAGUAACAAAAAAUCACAAGCUGCGACAGUCCAAUUACACUGACGUAUCAUUUCUUUCUUUCAGAAGGCAACCGAGCUCAAAGUUCUCAACCUCACGUUUUGUCAAUCUCUGAAAAGAACUCCCGACUUGUCCACUUUCAAAAAGUUGGAGAUUUUGACUCUUGUAGGUUGUGCGAAUCUAGAAGAGCUUCAUCCUUCUAUUGGAAAUUUGGCAUCAUUGAUUGAGCUAAACUUAGCAUAUUCAUCGAUGAAAAAAUUACCUAAAAGCAUUGGGAAUUUGCAAAAUCUGAGGAUCUUGUGUAUUUUUGGAACUGGCAUAACGGAAUUACCUGAGGCCAUUGGAAUGUUGACAAAACUCCAAAAGUUGGAAGCUUGGUAUUGCAAAAACCUGGACCAACUACCUAGUAAUAUAUGCGAAUUGAUUGCGCUGGAGGAGCUCCUCCUUGAGAGGUGUGAAAAGCUUCCGGAAUUACCAGAACUGCCCUCCGGCUUAAAAGAUUUAAGGAUCACCUGCCAGGGGCAGUCUUUGCCCCGUUUAUCCCAGCUAACCCAUCUCAAGGAACUCUCUCUUUAUGAUUGCCAUCGGCUUGAAUGUGUCGCAGAGGUUCCCAUUAGACUAUCGAACCUUAUUAUUGCAUGGUGCGAAAAAUUGAAAGCCUUGACGAAUUUGUCAGACUUGAAACACUUGCGAAAAUUCAGUAUUUUUCACUGCCCAUCUCUCGAAGGAUCGCCCGACGUGUCGAAUUUUAGGCGUACACGGAUGAGAGAGCUUGGCUUUAAAGAGACCCAGCGCCCUUAUUGGUUAUAUUUCGAGCGUUAGCAGGCGUCAAGAGCUACGGGGGGUAGAAGAGAAGGAUGGCUGGACGUCUAUGGAAUCUCUCUCUCUCUCUCUCUCUCUCUCUCUCUCUCUCUCUCUCUCGCUACUAGUCAGUCGCCCUGCUGGUUUCCGAGGCUCGAAGAUCGAAGCCACCGUUCGCACCGCCCAUCCACCGCAGGCAGGUGGGCAGGUCGGUCGGCACGGCGGAGAUGAUGACGGCAACGGCGACGAAGCGUUGCCACGGCUGGCAACGCCUUCUCCAUCCACUCCAGGUAAACGCACGCACACAUCUCUCGAGCUUUGCUGCGGUCUCUCAGCGUCGCUUCGGCGCGCCAGCUCAUCGAUUAUCCGAAUUGGAGAUUUUAGUUUGCUCGGUAGUAGCUAGCGCGGUAGUUUUGGCAGCAAUCGAGUGGGCGGUUGGAGCUGGACGUCGCGCUGGCUGCCAUGGUUCUGUCGAGAUUUGGUGAGUUGACCAAGGUCACGAGCAUAGGUUUGCUAUUUUGAGCUGAGGCUAGCAUGUAUUAGUCAAAUUCCUGCAUUGGCGACGUUCUAAAUGCUCUAGAUCGGCCACGAGUGGAUGUGUAGGGCGUGAUGCAGAUGAUCGAUCAAUCGCAUUUGAAGUUUAGAGUCGAUCGAACUCAUGUUGUAAAUUUGCAAUUGUAGAUAGUUGGGAUGGCGGUGUUCAGUUUCCUAGCGGUGGCCUUCUACGUCUUCUUGGGACUGUUGCUUCGGAGCGGGGCUGCUGAGAUCACCGUGACGACAAUAUUUUCUUUUGUGGUAACUCCCUUAGUGUUUACUUUGUGCCAUGAUGACAUUGAUUGCUUUUCUUUGGUCACAGGGAAUUGAUGGGAUUUUCCACAUAUUUCCCCCGAUUUUCAGGUUUUCUGGGCGAUGUUUCUGUUCGUCUAGUGUACUGCGAUAAAUCCAACGGAAAAGACCAGUUAUAGAAAGAAGAAGAGAGGCUCCGAAGCGAUGGCGCUCGCGGACUUUUGUGCCGAUUCCUCAAGCUCGCCCUCCUAGUUUCGAUGCUUGAUAUGCCUACCUGGGUACUUCUUCUUUCUCUUUUUCUUCUUGAAUGAUGAUGGAAGGAAGGUUGGGGGUUGAUAUUCCUGUGGAAGUCUAAUGGUGGCGCCUCUGUAUGUGUAUACAAAGAGAUAUGUAAUAAAGCAAAGAGAUUAGCCUGGGGAGAUAUCCUUUCUGGCAGGAUAUCAGCAAGUCUUCAGCACUUGACCGCUUAGCUUUGGAGAAGAUAGCAAACUCAAUAGGUAGAAGUCAGUAGCUAUGGCAUGUGGAUGAGCUGAGUAGGAAAGUAAUGCACAAAGCUCUGUGGAUAAGCUGGACAUUAUUGUUUGGGGUACCAUCUAGCAAAAUAGUUCAAACUUUUGCUUUUACAAGAUGGUGAACCCUCCAUUUGGAAUUGAAGUUAAAGAUGUGGGAGUGAAGGAUUGAAAAUUUGAUAAUAUCCCUGGUCUAUGAUGACAAAGAGAAAAAGGCACUUUGUCUAAGUCAAGUAGUUUAUUUUGUUUUAUCGCCUUUUCAGAGUUUAGUGAAGUUGGGUGUUGGGGCUUCUCUUUGUUUUCUUAUUCUGCUUAGUAGAUUUGUUUUUGGGGUUUGCAUUACCUUUUAUAGAGAUGGAUAGGUAUUUCCUUGUUACCUUACUUAUUAUACUUAUUGCAUAACAAAGAAACUGGGGAGAAAAGAGAUUGAGACUGGGUGAUGGAGGAGCGAUUCGUAAUGCUAUUUUGGGGAUUGAUGUUCGUCUGCCCACUGACAAACUAAUAUACAAUCAAUUAAAGAUGAACUGUGAUUACGAGUGGUACCUCUCCAUUGCAAUUAGGGUGUGCCAUGGAGUUUCUUCGUUGCAUGAACAACAACAUGUGUUAGGUUUGUUGGUGGCGAAAGUCAUAUUAAAAACGCAAGAGCCAAGAUUAUUGUGUUCAGCUGUGGACCUAGUUCUUGGGGCAUGAACUUUUGUCUUCCCAGCUCAAAGCACUCUUUGCCUUCCUCUUCAAGUGAUACAAAGGAGUCAAAAUUAUUUGAUGACACUGAUACUGGGAUAUAUAUCUAUGUUAAAUUGUUUUCCCUGUAUUUUAUUGCUCCUGAACUUUCUUGUAAUAAAAGAAGCAUCUUAUACACAUUGUUAGGAGUGAAUGGGGUCAUCGAGGUUAACCUAUGUCCAAGUAUAUGCCUUCUCAUCUCUGCUUUUGGGUGAUAUGGUGGAGUUUUCACUCUUUGUUGAUGGUAUUUCAUUGUCAUGGUUUGCUGAAAGCGGAUAAGUUACUCUUGGAUUAGUCAGAGCAUUAUGAUUAGUGGCUAGUAAUUAUACCUAUGCAAGAUCUGAAAAUUGUUUUAGGAUUGCUAUCUGCGUAGGAUGCAAUUAAAAGAUGGAACUUGGUCACAUCAAAAGUCAUUCCCAAUUGGGAUCAAGAGUAGGAUCAUUGGAGAUGUAGGAUGGGAUUUCUAAUCCCAGUCCCAGAUAUUCUUCUUGGCCUAUUUAAUUAGCAAUCAAUCUCAUAGUAAACCAAAUUAGGCUCCAAUUCUCAUUGUGCAUGACCCAUUGUACGUCUAAAACAAUAUCUAAAGGCCAAACCUGUUAAUUAGGGCUAACUUUGGGGAUUGAACUAUGAGGGAAUUAUAAAUGAGAAUGAGGUGUUGCCCUCAUCUUGAAUUAGAUUGGAUAGAAGUUUUGAUUGGUAGUUGUGGUGAGGCUGAAGAUUCUUUCUAUACAGACUUGGGCGAAUCCAUAAGCUUUUUGCUGGAGUAAGGUAAAUGGACCAUAUGCUGUGCCUCCACAAACGGCAGUGUAGCCCAAUGCCAACACCUUUGUACAGCAACCACCUCUACUGGCUGGGGACAGAAUUCUUUUUCAUGUUACAACAUAUAGCACUUUACCUUGUCUAUUUCUUUCAUCCUCCUCUCUCCUUCUUUUCACUGCCAUCAUCCGGUUUUGCAUUUGUUUUAUUCUCUUCUUUACUUUUGCCUUAGAUGCUUCUCUAGUUAACUUUCUUUUAAGAGAUACGAGAGCUUCUUCAGUGACCUGCUUCUGCUGUGGUGAUAAUAGUGCUUUUGUCUUCUAAUUUUGAGCUUCAUUCCCUCUUUUCAAAGAUAACAUACAGGUAAUAGUACAGAAAAAAGAUAAGAUCUAUCACUUUAGACCUUAAUUUUCUGUAGGGUCUUACAAUCAUUAAUUUAAAGUAAGGUCCAAUUUCUAUUAUUUUGGGAUCAAUCUUAACAACCUUUACCUCAAGGGGUUGAUUUUAUAUUGCAAGGAUUGCCUCCUAUAUAUGUACUGAUUAGAUCAUGAACUGUUGUUUUGUGUAGCUUUGACAUGCCAUCUAUGUAUAACUAUCUAAAAAAAAAGAAUGUGCCUGGCAUAUUGACAUGGGAAUUGGCUCUAGGCAAUCUAUUGGGAUGCGAGAUCUCUGGCCUGGUGCUUGUGCUCUAGAAUCUAGUAUGGUGGAAUCCUCUAGAAUCUGGUAUUGCGGAAUCCUCUUCAGUUUCUCACCUUCUGUUUCUGGAUUCUCUCCCAUGAUUGCCCCAAAUUUUUACUUUUUGUUCCCCUAUUCAUUUAUGAGUUGGAUUACUUCUUUUUCAUCUCUAGUUCAGCAUACAUUUCAUGACAUAUCCUUUGUGGGGAUCUUAUAGUGCUUGUUCUGUUUGUGAGUUUUCAAUUGGCUUGUAUCCUCUUCAUAGAGAUACCUUAUUUGUAUUGUACCUUGCUAUUGUCCCUUUUGGUUCCUUUUUUGACCAUAUUUUCAUUCUAGAGUGACAAAUUUUCCGUGCUAUUAAUCAAAUAGUUCAAAUCAAAGUUUUAAUUGUGAUCUAGACAUAAUCAAGUCAUUGACUUGAUUGGAUAGUGACCUCCAUGUCACUGUUUUCUUAUCCACAGGCUGUCACAGCAAUGGUGCAGCAAGUGUUGUAAUAUGUUGACGAGACACCUGAUCUUGAGGCCAAGAUAGAGCUUACUAAGACACUUAACUCUGUUGUUGCUGGGAAGGUGAAUAUGUGAGAAAUCAUACCCUGUUGCAGCUUAUGUUCAUCAGCAAUCUGCUUUUAGUUCGUGAUUUCUGUAGCUAGUUUCAUAACUCAGGUAUAUGUCGAAAUUGAGAGAGCACGGUUGAUCAAGAAACUUACAAAAAUAAAGGAAGAGCGUGGUUGUGUAGCAGAAGCUACUGAUAUGAUGCAAGAAUUGGGGAUAACUAGAAGUUAACUUCUAUUGUCACUGAUCUUGUAAUUGGUUUUCCCUCGUCCAACAUUCCUAUGACGGGUUUGAAAAGUAGGUAGAAACUUUUGGAGCAAUGGCAAAGAUGGAAUAAAUUGCCUUUAUUUUUGAACAAGUGCGGGUAUUUUGUAUUGCUUUUAGCUGUUUAUCCAUUAUUACUAUGAUUGGUUUUUUGAUCGAAGGAUUUUGCAGGUUCGUCUGUGCAAGGAGUACGUCUAUGCACAUAUCAUUUCCAGGAAGAUCAACCCACGAGUGUUUGAUGCAGAUCCUUACAUACAGAAGAAAAAAGGCUAAAGAAGGUGAAAACAUCGUGGAACAAGCGCCAGCUGAUAUUCUGUCUCUCUUGGAGUUGAAACGGAUAUACAAUGACUCAUGAUAUAACAAAUUGGUGUUUUGCUUUUCUAAUGUUGAGUCCACUAUCUUUUAACUAAUUUGCUGUUGCUGAUCGAAUGCCACCUAGUAUUCAGGUUGUGGUUCAAACCAUGAACUUAUAUAGCUUUAUAUAUCUGGCACAUACUCUUCCUUCUUUCUAGCUUUAUCGCAAACUCUGAUGUUCCAUAUGUACUUGAUAGAUUUGAACUCGCAUCUUAGUUUGCCUCCCAUUGAUGUGGUUAACCAUGUAGGUAUUACUCACAUAACAAUGAUUACCUUGAGAUUUGUCGAUACUAUGAGACGAUAUAUGAGAUUCUAUCAGUAAAGGGCGACCCAGUGCUAUGUAUAUGGGUGAAGCUCUUUCCUUGUUAAGUCUUCACUGAGUCUUUCAGGGCACAGCUAUGCAUUCUGUGAUUUAAUUAAACGUAGGUUCUAAGGAAAAUCUGCUAGUACUUGGUUCUAUCACCACAUGAUCCUAUGUGGUCAAGCCUUCUUAAUGCAACUUCAAUAAACAUCUCUUAGAAAUUCCCCAAUUCAGGUACCAUCUUUGAAUUGUUCUAGGUAAUUGAUUGUAGAUCUUGCAAUAUCUCAAUAACGUGCCAUAGGAUUUGGUCGACCGUGCCUUUGAUAUUUUUAACGCAGGUUGCUACUGAAACAAUUGGUUACGGUGGAGGCUCUAACGGACUCCUCUUUAAAGUACUUUCAAAGAUGAAUUGGAGAAUGAGAAGACAUGCUAGGAGGUGCACUUGUUGAGAAUUAGACGGGGCCCAAUCAUAGUCAGAAGAAGAAUUUUGGCUUCUCCUUAGCGAGACAAACUACCUUUAGCUAGAAGCCUCUUUAGAGAAUCAUCGAACAUGUAAUUACAGAACUUGUCGUUUUUCUUCUUUUCAUUGGAUCAUCACUCGGAUGUGACUUCCUUUAUUUUCUGCAGAAUAUUAUCGUUGUUUUGAAGUAUUGCUCAGAUGUGACUUACUUUAUUUUCUGCAGAAUAUUAUUGUCGUUUUGAAGUAUUCCUCGAGGAUUACCUUAAAGAGACUUGCAGAGUGGUUAUGCCUCAGUAUCCAGGUCUAAUUAUGUGGAACAUUUGUUGAUAUUCUUUAUCAGUGCCACUUUUUAUGAACGAUUGCCUAGACCCCUCAUUUAACCCUGAGUAGCCUCUGUGCCUGUGAUCCUUGAUUGGCGCAUGGUUGCUGGACUAGGAUACAAGUUCCAAAAUAUGUGUAAAAGAGAUUUUGGUGCGUUGAAAGCAAAGUUUUGUCAUGGAUUUGAGAAUGUUGUCUUCAUAGUUUUGUUUUGUAAACAUUUCUGGCCAACAUAUAUGUGUACACUUUUUUUUUUCUUGGCUUAGUCAACUUCUGCUCAUAAAUUUGUUGUAGCUGUAAGUGUUGUCCGGCAUUGUGAAACCAUUUUUUGUCCCAUGGAGCCUGAAAUUUUAACGUGCUUAGCUUUUUCUGCUAGUGUUGACACUCACCAUUUCCUGUGUUACAAAAGUAUAUCUUGUGAGAGAUCUUGAUUAACGUGUUCAGAAAAUCUUUGUUGUUGAAUCACUCAAGAAGAAGAGCUCUGUUUUUGGGUUCUCUUACUGCAGUUUUUAAGAGCUUUAAUCAAUCACAUGACUAAAUUUAUUAAAUCAACACUAUCAUCUGACAGAGAGACCAUAUAAUGAUAAUUAUACAAGCUCAUAUGAUAUUCUAUCAUCAUGACCGCUUACUUCUAUAUUACAAUUUUAGGAAGCUGAGAAGCAUCUCUUCUUAGUGUUUGUUUCCAAGGACCUGGUGGCAAUGGCAAAGAUAGACUGGCCAAUGAGAAUUGUCAGUUUGGAAACGGCAAUGGACAGCAAUGAGAUUUUGAACUCAGGCGACAAAUUUGGAAAAGCUGCCUGACCUUGUUGAGAAAAGCUGCCACUAGAUCCCCAAGGAAACCAUGUUUCAUAAGGCUGCUUUGAGUGCUUGAAGAUGUUUUUGGUUGAAUGAAUGAUCUCUCUCCCCUAAGGCCUCCCUCCCUCUCUCUCUCUAACUGAAGAAUGCUGUUUCACAUUAUGGUGGGGACUAGAGAUAUUGAUCAUAGAACUCUUGCGUAGCUGUCUUAAAUUUGACUGCAUAUUUUGCGAGGGGACCGGAUCCUGGCCUUGUUUUGGACUGAAAUGAUAUACUGAAUUCACUUUCUGUAUAGGAAUGGAGUUUGGUCUUUUCCUCUUUCCUCAUUCCCCCACCUUUUAAUUGAAAAUGUGUGGGCUUUUAGGGUCCAGAACUUGUACCAAUGGAACAGGUGUCAGCACAAGAUGUCACUCAUUUGGAUGAAAUAAGCGCCUUGUUACAGAAUUGUGUUUCGCAUUACAAAUAUUGCUGGUGCUUGCAUUUUUUCUAACAUUGGGGAUAACCCUUCCAUUUCAUUUCACAUUCGAAAUGAGCGAUGUUUCCAAGGAGCUUCAUUUCAAUAAUAUAUAUGCACUUUUUGUCUCCUCAAGGGACGUUAUUUUUCUCCAAGUCGAUACCUGAUAGGGCAUGGACGUUCUCUAAAAUUCCAGCUCCUUCCUUUUCUUCAUGGAAACUGAAAAGAUUGGGAAAGGCUGUGGCCACAUCUUUGGGUUAUGCAAAUAGUUAUGCCCACUAGGUAAAAAGCACCCUUUUACUUUCUUCACAAAGCAAUUGUACAAAAACACAUAGGCAAAGGAGGGAGAUCAAUACAGCUGGAUUUAUGGUGCUCUCAAUCCCCAAAAUUCGCCAGGUUCUUUCAAGCUCCAAGGAUAUGACUUCGUAGUUUCAAAGUCAUUUCAAAUUCUCGAAUUAACUUUUUACCUAUUGAGUUCGAUCCUAAGAAGAUACACUUUGUUUCUCCAAUUACACGAUUUGCUCUUCAGCUCAUUAGUCAUUCCAAUGCUGGGAUUUUUUUCACUACUGCAAUGAAGAUUUUGUUCCAAUGAGUGAUGUUCUGGUUUAACUUUCCAGUAUGCAAGUUUUGGUCUCCUGUUGCUUUCUUUGUUUUUUUUUCUUUGAUAAUCUUGGUCUUCAUGAUAUUGGAACUGUGAGUAGAGCCGAAUUCCAAAAUUUCAGAGGAGAAUUAUAUAUGUUUCCAAAAAAAUUAUGAAUUACUUCAAGUUUGAGCAAUUUUAUCUAUAUGAAUCGUGUAGGAAUUGUGAGAGGAAUCCUUUAAACGAGUUGGCGGAGAUUUGGUGGUGCAGGUGGUUGGGGCCGGUGGUGACAAGGCUCCCAUUGGACUGGACGUUGGGCCGGUGGAAGCAAUGGUCACCAGUGGCAAAAGUGUGGAUGUGAGUAAUACUCGCCGGCUAUGGUGACAGAAAAAAUGGCCGGUCCAUUGGUUAGGGUGUUGAAUGGAAAGCCGGUGUUGCAGUUGUUGUUGUCAUCCUUUGACACAUUCGCGACAUCAUGUGACCCUGUAUUGAACCCUGCAAAAACAAUGGAAGAUCAUCCAGCAUGAAAAAGUGAGGCUCAAGAUUAUUUUUUUGGCCCUCGAAGCUCAAGAUUGAUUGCAGUUGAGAAUGGACUGGUCGGAGCAAAGUCCUUAAUAAUUAUAAUAAACAAGUAUCUGAUUCCUACUCGAAGAGAGCCAAAAUGAGAAGGCUGCAUUGGCUUGGCGCAGUUCAAGUACACGGUGCUGCUAGAAUUGAUCAUUCAUCCUGCAGAAUAUCCCAUUGGAUAAUUCGUCGCCUUUCCUCCCGAAAAAAAUGGAGUUGCAACGGCUAGAACGAAGUCUCUGAGUUUUCGCACUUGGCCAUUUGGCCGGGCUUUUGUUAUAAUUUCAGGACGAGGUCAUCUCUUAGAUCUCCAUGCUUCCUAUUCUUUGUCAAAGGUGCGGUUUUCGAGCACAAACAUAGCUGGGAAGCCAAUGUCGGGAACGCUCCUCAUAGACUGUGUAGUGAGUCAUUGGCUUGGUCGCUUCGACUGACUAUAAUACUUUAUGGGUGGUUGGUGAGUGAGACUGUGAUUGAAAAUAAAGGAAGCCAGUACUGAUCAUUCAUUCUCUGUCAAAAUGAUGCAUUCACAUCUGUCUUUUGGAGGGAGUGGAAUUAGUAGAUUCUAAGAUAGUGCCUAAAAGGAUUGCAUGAUGGGGUGGGCAUGAAUGCGACCCGUAAUGCUCAAACCAUUUGUGAUUGGAUUAAGGGAGGAUGAUUUGAUCAUGGGCUGCAAUCUCGCGAAUUCCUUAGUCUCUAUUCUAUUCGGUUCGUUGAUCAUUCCAGCGACUGUUAUAAGACUUUGGCAUUGUGACUAUCAUGAGAAUUCUGCAUUAUAAAUAGAGUAGAAAAUGUCGCUGCUCAAAUCACUUGUAUAUAAUGUCAAUAUUGCUUAUCUUCAUAACAGAUAAACCAUUAGAAACAACUCUCGCCACAAGAAGAGAUCAGUGUUGCAUCAUACCAAUCCUAUACCUACCCUUCGAUUCCACGGAUAACUUGCAUAGUGGCCGGUGAAUCUUUCCAAAGAACAUGGAAGAACUAGGAUUUAAAAGAGCAUUUUCGGUCAGUGUCAUUCGGGAAUCACGUGAGCUUUAUUUGGACCAAGCGUCUGAACCUCAAUAGCUAGAGAACUGUGCUUCAGUGUGUAACCUCAGCAUCUAUACAAAGACAUUUGCCUCGACAUGCAAAAUCCAUUCGCGAUAGACGAGCCACUAGAAACACCUCUCAUGAAGAGGGAAGAUCGGUGUUGCGUCACCCCGAUCCUAUUAUGCUCUUUGCGAAUUCCACUAAUAAUCCCGUGCACUUAGCCAUGAGAAAAAUGCGAUCUUGAAGGUCAAAGAUAGCGAGAGCAGAACUUUCUGAUCAAGACAAAGUGCCAAAUACAGUAGAGCUUAGGGGUGAGCGGUUCCCGGUUCCGGUUCGGUUCCAUCCGGAACCUGGAACCUACCCUCGGGUACAGGUUCCUCCAUUUUUGGAACCUGGAACCUACCCGUCAAAACCGAGAACCUGGAACCUACCCUGUUACAGGUUCCGGGGUCGGUUCCAGGUUCCAACAGGUUCUUUUUUUUUUUUUUUAGUUUCAUUUUCAGUACUGUGUGAUCUAGAUGAUGAAGCGGUCUCAGUCCAAUUAAUGACUCCGUAGGCAAGUUGGUCAGGGCACUUAGAGGAGUGAUGCUGGGUAAGGCAUCAAGCAACACCCAUUGAUUCUUGUUGCAGUAAGCUUGCCUUCUUAAGUUCUGCACCAAAAUCUGUCGACCGAACAGCAAAUUCAAUCAAAUUCAAAAUCAAAUGGAAUACUUACGAAUUUUAAGUGAAGUGAUUGUGAUAUAUGUAUGGACAAGAACAAUACAUACAAGCCCUUCUGUAGCUCCACAUAGUUUGACAAUCUACUGCUUGAUAUGAAAGUUUCUGGCUAUGCUUUAUGUACCUUCUGAGAGUGGGUCAAUUGAUCCAGCGACUGGUAAGUUUGGCCAUCAAGUGUUGCUUGAGCCACUUUCAUCAUUCCCUUUGCAACCCGAUCACCAAAUAUCUUAAAUAACAUUGCAUCACACAAGUAGUGGAUUUGAUGGUCAACAAUGCUUAAAUAACGUGUACAGAAAAGGGGAAAUUAGCACGGCUAGAAGAGAAAUGGUUGCUACAUUUCUCAGAGAGGAUGCAUCAGCUUCGUACAACUGGAGGAAAUCUUGAACAGUAUUGAUUCCUCUUGAAAUCAUGCGUUUAUGUAGAGCACCGUCUUUGGCUACUUUCUUUAAACGCCACACUUCGUCGCUCAGUGAUGGAGGGUGGUGCUUCUUGUUCACUACACAUGACAGAGAAAACUUGUCAAUUUUAAGUCUUUUUUAGUUCAACCAAAAGGAUCAGGAAUUAGCAGUUAAAAAUCAAAAGUCAUAGGCAACUAAACUAAUAAUUGCAAACUUACAAACUCCUCGAUGAUAAACCAUAUUAGGCGAGCGGCGAGCAGUGUCGGGGCGGCUAGGCGAGCGAGCAGCCUCCACUAGGGGGACAAGCGGCGUCCAACGGUGGCGUCGACGUCAAGCGGCUGAGCGGCGAGGCAAGCGAGGGGUGACGGCAUCCAGCGAUGGUGUCGAGGGAGGUUCGGCAACGGCGAAGAAGACACGAGACUCACGGCACCAACGACGGCACAGACGGCGCAGCGAAGACGGCGGCGGUCGCGGCUCAACCCACGGCCAAGGGAGGAAGAGCUCGGUUCAAACGGAGGCGGCGGCGGUUCGGAGCAACGACGGCCCAGACGGCCGAGCGAGCGGCGGCAAGAGGUGGUGACGGUGGCUUGGGGACGGCGGCGGUGGCUCACGGCGGCGAGGGGCGACGCGGACGGCGUGACAGCUUGUCGGGCUCAACGGCAACACGGCUCGUCGGACGAGCGGUAGGUGGUGGUGGUUCGGUGGCCAAGAGGUGGUGGUGAGUAGGGCGUGGGGCGGCGGUGUGGUGGUGGGUGAAGCAACCGCUAGCAAGAGGAAGGAAGAAGAGAAGAAGGGAGGGGGGUUUCGGCCAAGAGAGGGAGAAAGAGAAGAGAGAGAAGAAAAGAAAAAAGUUGGGGGGAGGGAGCAGGAAGUGACGUGAGGAGGAAAAAGGUUGAAAAGAAAGAGAGAGAGAGAAAAGGAAAGGGCAAAGGGGGGGAAAAAUCGGCAGAGGGGGGAGGGAAAUCACGUGGGGGGUUGAGUGACGUGCUACGGUUUUUUUAUUUUGAAUUUAGACCGGUUCCGGUUCCGGUUCUCGGUUUCCUUUUUCAAGGAACCGGGAACCGGAACCGGAACGCCGGUUCCCAAAAAAAGGGAACCGGGAACCGGAACCUGUUUUUUCAGAACCGGGAACCGAACAGGAACCUCCGGUUCGGUUCCCCGGUUCCCGGUUCUACCCGGGAACCGUGCUCACCCCUAAUAGAGCUGUCGUAAUAGGAAAAUUUUCUAGAGCCAAAGAUCGGAAAAGUCAUUGAUCGAGUAGCAUCCCAUGUACUCCCCAACCUUCCCUUUUGAAUUGACAAAACAAUGCAUUGCAACAGGUGAAUCCUCUGAGAAACUAUAAAAAGAGGCCAAACCCCACAAGCAAUUCCAUCAUUUGAACAAUGAAAAAGAAGAACGAGAAUUUCGUGGAGAUUUUCAAAUUCAGACUUCACCACUUCUUCUUGCACUUUUGGUAUGAAAUUUCUUUCUCGUUUGAAUACCAAAAAUGAGCAGAUAGUUGUCUCGUACCAUAUUGAGAGGAAAAUAUAUCAAUUGGCUCAAAAUUCACUUAUAUAUUUGACUCGAGCAAUUUAAAUUUCCAAUCCUAUUCAAUCUCCGAUUUUAUAUUGAUCAGGGUGAGCUUUCGUUUCUCGCCUUGACUCUAAAUUUCCAAUCACCCUUUUUAUUUCCGUCCACAUGCAAAGUCAAACCAAGUGUAAAAUCCGAAUGGUAUCGACGGUUGCGACUCACCAGUCGCCUUCGAGGAAAAGAAGAAAGGAAAUCUCAUCUUCAUUGCAAAGAUGGCCAGCCCAGCCCAAGUAAUUCUCAGGCUCCAUGGGCCGUCCGGUGAAGACGGGCCGGAAUCUCUAUCGGCUGUUGGAUCUUUUCUGAGGCCCUUGACGGGCCAAUCCGAUCAGGAUUCAAUUCGCUUCUUUUUCGGAUCCCUCGAUUUCCCCUCCAUUUUCAUCCAUUUUCAUUUUUAUUCCCUCGUGCUCUUUUAUUUAUUUAUAUAUUUAUUUUUCCUCUUUUAUUAAAUUAUUAAUUUAAUUUGCUCUCGCAUCAGUGCGUUCAAAGAGGAGGAGGAGAGAGGAGAGGAGAAACAGACGAGUGGAAGUUUUUCGCGGGUCAGGGGUUCACCCAGCGCUCUUUCUCUCUCCUCUUUCUUCCCCUUUCUCCAACUCCAAGGGCUCCGAAUCCAUCGUGGUAGGAGACUCUCGCCGAUUCCUCGAGCGCGCCCUUACGAUUUCUGGGAGCCGAUUGAGAUGGUGAGUUCGCGUCCCCGCUUUCAAAUUUGUAGCGAGUAAUUGGCUGCUCGAUUGCCGGCUCACCUGAUAGUCCUAGGUGGGUGGCAUUGGGGCAACUCAAUAAGGGGGUUCUUAGUGUGUGUUUUCGCCUGAACUUGGUGGUUUAGUACCAUGAGUACUGAAUGUGCGUGUGUGCGUGACAUUGUUGAGUUAGCGGAUGCGCUAUAUUGUAAAUGAUUUUCUUUCAGGGUUGGACACCUUUUUUUUUUCUUUUUUCUUUUUUGCAUUAUCUAUUGAAUUUAACUUCUCACGGGUAACGAAUUAUUCAAGUUGGCGAGAUUUGGAAGAAUUGAUAAAAAGAUGUGCUUUUGGAACCCUUUUGUGGAAGCUUGGAGUUUAUUUCUGUGGACGAAUUGAUAAAAAGAUGUCUUUUCAAAGUAUUACUCAAGGAUUACCUCGAAGAGACUUGCAGAGCUAUUAUACCUCAGCAUACAGGUUGAUUAUGUUGAACAUUUGUUUAUAUUCUUCAUCAAUGUCGAUCUUUAUAAAUGAUUGCCUAGAGCCCUCAUUUAACCCUGAGCAGCCUCUCUGCCUGUGAUCCCUGUGGGGCAUGGUUGCUGGACUUGGGUACAAGUCCCAAAAAAAGUGGAAAAGAAGUUUUGGUGCCUUGAAAGCCAAAGGCUUGUCAUGAGGUUGUGAAUUUUGUCUUGGUAGUUUCGUUUUGUAAACAUUUCUGACCAAUAUAUAUGUGUGGACUUCACUUUGUCAACUUCUGCUCAUGAAAUUUGUAGCUGUAAGGGUCAUUGUCUGGCGUUUUGAAACCAUUUCUUGUCCCAUGGAGCCUAAAAUUCCGAUGCCCUUUAGAAGGGUGGGAGGAGUUUUGCUAUCACUCACCAUCCAUUUCCUGUGUUACCAAAGUAUAUCUUGCGAUUAGAACUUUCUUAUUGUGUUCUGAAAAUCUAUGUAGCUGAAUCACUCAAGGAAAAGAGCUCUGUUUUUGGGUUAUGUUACCACUGUUGUAGAGAGCUUUGAUUGUUCUAUGUUACCAUUUUAGGAAUCUUAAAAGCAUCUCUCCAAAAUGGUUGUUUCCAAGUCCCUAAUGGCACAAAUAGACCGGCCGAUGGGAGUUGUCUGUUUCUAGAUGACAAAGGACAGUAAUGUCAUCUUGAAUUUGUGGGUGACAAAUUUAGAAAAGCUCCUUCAUCUUUUUGAGAAAAGUUGCCACCAAAUCCACAAGGAAACAUUGGUUCAUAAGGCUACUUUGAGAGCUUGAUAAUGUUCUUAGUUGAACGAAUGAUCUCUCUCCCCUUGAGCGUCCCUUGAUCUCUCACCAAAAGAGAAGCGGAAUAAUGCUGUUUCACAUUAUGGCCUGAAGUGGGACUGAAGAUGUUUAUCAUAUCUCUCGUGCGGCUGGCUUUAAUUUGAUUGCUUAUUUUGCAAGGGGGCCAGAUCUGGGCCUUGUGUGGACUGAAAUGAUACAACGAGUACACUUUAUGCAUAGGAAUUAGGAAUUUAUGUUGGUCUUUUCAUCUUUCCUCUUCAUCCCUCCUUUUCAUUGAAGAUUUUUGAGCUCUCAGGGUCCAGAACUUGUGCCAAUGGAGUUAGUAUCAGCACAAGAUGUGCACUCAAUGCAGCAAAAUGAGCAUGUUAAAAUCUGUUUGGCAUUAAUAAUUUUGCUGGUGCUUAUAUUUUUUUAACAUUGGGGAUAACAUUGGCUCUCCAUAGAAAAGGCGAAUGGAUGUUAUUUUUUUUAUAUCAUUUCACAUUUGAAUUUCAUCUUCAGCAGUGAGAGCGUGUUUCUUUUGGACCCAAUCUUGGCCAUCGACGGUUCUAAAAACCUGUUUCUGGGGAGCUUCAUUCAAUUAGGUAACUGCAUUUUAUAUCUCCUCAAGAGAGACAUAGUUUCUCUCCAAGUUGAUGUUUUGAUGUCAUUUCCAUAAGACACUCCGUUGUGAUGUCAUUUCUCUAUAUAGUUUCUGUCACUGAAAUGUGUUUGAUUCCGACUGGUUUUGACAUCUCUCUCAACUCUUGGCAUGUGUGUGUAAUACAGUGAGAAGCUUUGAGAUAUUGAGGAUAAUGUGUUUUUUCGAUGAUAGUAAAAUUUCAGAUUUGAUGGAAGUUAUCUUUACAUGGUCUCUUCCCAUUUUCAAUUUACUAUAGGUGCUUCUAAGUGGCAACAUAGGAUUAUUUCUUUGUCUAAUUUGUUUUUGCUUUUAUCUUUUGACACCAUCGCAUAUUUCCUAUUAAUCUCGGCAUUUGAUUGAUUUCAUUGGUCAAUUGUUGUCUGAAAUCCCUUUUCUUUACUGAAGAAGAUGUAAAGGUUUUGAAUAUCGUGUCAUAGAGUGAAAUGGGAAAAGAGUGACUCCUAUGGGGACCAUCGAGUAGUUCUUUAACUUUAUUCGUUUCAUGGAACAUGUUUGGAUGGGUUUUCUUUUCCACUUUUUUGUUAAAAUAAAAAGCAAGUAAAGUCAAGAGGUUCCCCGCAACUUCCUCGUAAUGCUAAGAAUAUUACGCGUGCAAUGACUCAGCAUUCCUGGAGGACUCUGCAAUCAGUAUUCUCCAAGCAUGAACCGUGCAAAAGAAAAAAUGCACUUUGGUGGAGAAGGCAUUCGCUGAAAAUGUUAACAUGAAAUAAAAAGGCUAAACACCAAAUGAAAUAAUAAGUAAUUUAUAUUCACUAAAUAAUUGUUCGAUGGUGCAGAGAAUCCAUUGGCCAAGAAUUUCUAAACGUGACACCGAAUGUAUAAACCCGCAAUUCCACCAACUCGAGAGGAGCCGUCUAUAAUGCCUUGUAGGUCCAUGAAAAGGAAAAAAAAAAAAAAAGAUCGGUGGAAUCAUCUCAUGUACUUAAUUAGAUGGAUUUAACAUGACCACUGAAGCUCAAUUAUAAUUAGAUGGAUUUAACAUAAUGUUGAAGCACUUGAAUAGAUCUGUUAUCAUCCAAAAUAAAACCCAAUGUUCAUUUCAUUAUUUAAAUAGGCAAUGCGAGAUAAUAGUUUCAUUAGCGGGGUUUGGGUAAUGGCCCAAUUUCGAUUUCAUUUUUAGCAAGUAGUUCCAUUCCAUAUAUGAAGUGAUAUUGUAUUUGUUUGUGUAAACGGUUAUCUAGAUAUAGAUUUAAUCUCUUUAUGUAAAAACCCUUUUUCGAAAAUCCCAAAAGUUUAUUGGUUGACGUAGGACAAGUUGUCCAUAGUUUCCUAAAAUGAAUUGAUCAACAAAUGAAUAGAGUUUAGCACAACAUUUAUCAAAGUGAAUAGAUAAAGGUCGGCUGCUACGAAUGAGAGCUACGGACAAUCUAGCAUAAAUCGUGUUGACAAGGAUUUUUCAUAGAAGUGCCACGGGUUUCAUUACAAAUACCGGUGAAGAGCAGAUGCUGAAAAUGCAUUUGUCCAAGCCUUUAAGUUAGCUUUGGAACUGUUCUCGUCAAUCCUCCACAACCUCUAACGAAAUUCACCACUCAAUUCCAAAAAUUCCCUGCCCAGCCACACCAAUUUUCCCAAAGUCCUCGCGUAGCUUGUGCUUCACACUACUUUACCCAUCCGUUUUAGCGUGCGGCAACGCGGUGUCCUCCUCACUUCACCUUCCCGUUACAUUUCCCUAAAGACUCCAUUUAUUAAUGGAAAAGCAAGUCAAGUCAAGCUGUGCUUGAUUCCAAAGUUCAAUCAAAGCACCUGUGUAGGUGGCGCGCACCUUCCGCAGGGUGCUAACGAAUUUACGCGUUCAAGCGCGCAUAGUAGAAAAGGCAAGGACUAGGAGCAUCUUUAUUGCAAGUGGGUUUUCUUUUCCACUUUUUUGUUAAAAUAAAAAGCAAGUAAAGUCAAGAAGCACCUGCAGAGGUUCCCCGCAACUUCCUCAUAAUGCUAUGAAUAUUACGCGUGCAAUGACUCAGCAUUCUUGGAGUACUCUGCAAUCAGUAUUCUUCAAGCAUGAAGCUUAAUACUGUGCAGAAGAAAAAUGCACUUUGGUGGAGAAGCCAUUGGCUGAAAAUGUUAACAUGAAAUAAAAAACUAAACACCUAAUGAAAUAAAAAAGUAAUUGAUAUUCACUAAAUAAUUAUUCAAUGGUGCAGAGAACCCAUUGGCCAAGAGUUUUUAAAUGUGACACCGAAUGUAUAAACCCACAAUUCCACCAACUCGAGAGGAGCCAACUAUAAUGCCUUGUAGGUCUAUGAAAAAGAAUAAAGAAGAUCAGCAGAAUCACCUCAUGUACUUAAUUAGAUGGAUUUAACAUACAUUGAAGCUCAAUUAGUUGUUGAUUAUGCAAACAAAAUCACCAUAAUUUUUUAACUUGCCCAAAUAAGGACAAAAAAAACCUCUCUUAUUUACUAUCAAUCGACUAUCGGUUGCCUCGAUAACUCUCAUAUACUGUACAUUCUCGAUAAUCCCAUAUACUAUACAUUCUCCUAUCAUUAUGAUAUAUCAAAUGCCCGAAUAUGCUUGUAGCUCCAUCAAAUCCGAAACGGAGUCUCACCCAAAUCCAGUCUUUCGUAAAAAGUGUGCACUAAUCUUCGGCCGACCUCACUCCGAGCAUCAGCAUUGCUCGCUGCUUUUCUUUCCGAUUCUUCGUUUACUUGGAAAAAGCAAGUCAAGUCAAGGUGCACUUGCAUAGGUAGCUUCAAUGCACCUUCUGCAUAAUGUCGCUGAAAUUAUGCCUACAAUGGUUUCCCUUUGCUUUUUAUUUUUUAAUUGUUUUAAUAAUAGAAAAAUAAGUCAACUUGAACUCGUGCUCAGUUUAGAAAAAAAAGCACCCGCAUAUGCUCUAUGCCCCUUCCGCGCAAUGUCGUGGAAAUUAGGCAUGCGAUAAUUACGCUUUUCGUGCAGCAUGCAUCGCAAUCGCAGCGGUUCGAUUAGUUGGAGAUUCUUGGACCGUUGGAUGGCAAGAACUCAGCAUUGUUCAAGCACGCAUAGUAGAGAGUGUUGUGAUGUCAUUUCUCUGCCUUGCUGACACUAGAUGUGUUCGAUAUUGACUAGUUUUGAUAUUUCUCUCGACUCUUGGAAUGUAUGUGAGUAAUACAGCAAAAAGCUGGAAAUAUGGAGGAGGAUGUUUUUCUUCGAGGACUCUUAUCAAAUUUCAGAUUGGCUGGAAGUUCUCAAUACACGGUCUCUUCCCAUUUUCAAUUGACUAUUAGUUCCAAGUCACAACCUAAGAUGAUUUUUUUUGUCUAAUUUGUAUUCGCUUUUAUCUUCUAGCUGGUGAAGCAUAGAAACCAUCAUAUUUCCUAUCAAUCUCGACAUUUGAUUGAUUUCAUCAAUCAUUUAUCAUUUCAAAUCCCUUCUCCUUAUCGUGUCAUAGAGUGAAAUGGGAAAUAAGUGAUUCUUAUGAAAACCAUUGAAUAGUUCUUGAACUUUAAUUCGUUUCAUGGAACAUGUUUGAAUGGAACAACAAAAUUAUGGUUCACUUCUUAAGUUUUCGAUUAUACUUUAAUGGGGAUCUCCAAGUCUAGCAAGUAUCAUAUGUAUCGUGACCCUCUUGGAAGUAUGAGAAGCAACUUGAGUGAAAAGUCAUCAUCUCUUCUUCACUUCAAAAGCUAUUUACUUCAUUGAUAUCGGUGUGUAGAGCUUUAGAUACUUCAUUUCUUAUCAUGUUUUGUAAAUUAAGUGUACAAAAAGGCCUAUGUUGAAUACGAAAGUCUGAAAUUUACGUCAACUCAAAUAAUAUAAAAGACUCAUAAAAAAAUAAUAUAAAAGAGAAUAUGCACAAAUAUGAAUUAAAUGAUUAGGAACGUCAUGUGCAAUGUGUUUUCAAUUAUACACUUGAAUUGAAAGAAUGUUUGUACCUAUAAGUAAAGAAGUGAGUUCAUGCUCCUAGGAGGUUUUAUAAGCUAAGCUGGUUGUCAGAGCAGCAAAAGUAGGCAAUAUUAUAUAGCUAUAAUACACUAGGUGUCAACGUAAUCAUUCCUUGUUGUCGUGUUUAAUGCAAUUUCUCUCCAUUUAAUACCUUCAGCUUUUCAAAUCACAUCUUCUAAUGCUAAAUGAGCUAAUAGUGAAUCCUCCUCUAUUGUGCUGCAAAAAAUUGUAUUUUGGUGAAGAACAUGUUGGCGGAGACUGUCAACAUGAAAUAAAAAGCCUGACAAAAGAUGAUCAUGAAAGGGGAAAAAAAGUACUACUGAAUUACCAUUCAAAUAUUAAGAGUUGUUAGCUUAGAAUUUAUUAACGCAAAACCAAAAGAAUAAAAUUUAUGUAAAAUGUUAAAAGCCAAUUAUUUAAGGGGAGAGAUAAAAGUGGCUUGGGUGGAGGAUAAUGAUUUGAUAAUUUUUAAGGAAAAAGUAGUACGGAGAAAUCUAGUUUAAGGAAAUUAUUUUGAAAACGAUUUAUUUUAGAGUUACCUUUCUAGACGAAUAAAAAAGAAAAAGCCUCCUGCAGACUUUGUAUAACAAAAUCUUGUAUAAUCCCCCGAUUUAUAUGCUCUUGUCUGACUCAUGUAAAUUAGCAGUUUAUAAGAGAAUGAAAGCAAGUCAAGUCAAGUUUAGCCAGUAUUGGAUCUCUCAAAUUUCAAUGAAAGCGCGUAGAUAGGUUCGAAGCCCCUUCCUUAAAUGGUAUUGAUUAGGGAUGAGCGGUUCCCGGUUCCGGUUCGGUUCCGUCCGGAACCUGGAACCUACCCUCGGGUACAGGUUCCUCAAUUUUUGGAACCUGGAACCUACCCUGUCACAGGUUCCGGGGUCGGUUCCAGGUUCCACAGGUUCCUUUUGUUUUUUUUUUUUUUUCAUUUUCGUAUUGGGCGCGAAUAUCCAGAAGUGGAAAUAAUUCAAUAGUUGGCCCUCCAUUUUCAAUACCUGCCAAUAAAGAGGAGCAAUUCCAGAACACGCCAUAAACAACUAAACUAAAUUCAUAGUGGAGGUGCAACGUGCACAGGAGCAAUUCCAGAACACGCCAUAAACAACUAAAUUCAUAGUGGGGGUGCGAUAUGCACAGGAGCAAUUCCAGAACACUCCAUGACAUAGACAUCCAGCACUCCAUUCACAAACGAGGUAACACAAAGAUCAAAUUCUCUAUGCCCUUGCACAAACCGACAUGAAUUGUACAUCCUAAUCGAAAUAAGCAAAAGCAAACGAUAGCUUGAUCUUCGCACGUGACGAACGCGUGCUCGACUCGGUCUGAUUCUCGAAAAUCACUCACUCACACGUACACAUGGAAACCCUAAACUACCGGCUGAGGAACAGAAAAACCGUCAAAGCCGCGAACAGGCAAAGGAGAGGAGGUCGAGGCGAAACCAACCUCCGAGACGAAGAAGAGCUCGCUGCUGCCGCCUCCUGCUUCUCCUCCUUCAGCUUCGCUGCCGAUCGUAGCCCGUAGCAGAGCAGCUUCGUUGGGGGCGGAGGCGAAGGGGUGUGGAGUUAAGGUUGAUUGGGCGGCUGGGCGAGUAGCGAGCUGCGUCGGGGGGCUGGCGAGCGAGUAGCCUCCACCUGGGGGACAAGCGGCGUCGAUGGCAAGCGGCUGAGCGGUGAGGCAAGCGAGGGGUGACGCAUCCAGCGGCGGUGUCGAGGGAGGUCCGGCGACGAAGACAAGAGUCUCACGGCACCAACGGCAGCACGGACGGCGCAGCGAAGACGGCGGCAGUCGCGGCUCAACCCACGGCCAAGGGGGGAAGAGCUCGGUUCUGGCGGUGGCGGUUCGGAGCAACGACGGCNNNNNNNNNNNNNNNNNNNNNNNNNNNNNNNNNNNNNNNNNNNNNNNNNNNNNNNNNNNNNNNNNNNNNNNNNNNNNNNNNNNNNNNNNNNNNNNNNNNNGACGGCUCACGGCGGCGAGGGGCGGCGCCGACGGCACGAUAGCUGUCGGGCUCAACGGCGAGACGGCUCGUCGGACGAGCGGUGGGUGUUGGUGUUUCAGUGGCCAAGAGAUGGUGGUGAUUAGGUCGUGCGACGGCGAUGCGGUGGUGGGUGAAGCGGCGAGGGGCGGCCAAGAAGAAGAAGAAGAAGAAGAAGAAGGGGAGAAGAAGGGGUGGGUUUCGGCCAAGCGAGGGGGAAAGAGGAGAGAGAAGAAAAGAAAAAGGUUGGGGGCAGGAAGUGAUGGGAGCAGGAAAAAGGGGGGAAAAGAAAGAGAGAGAGAGGGAAAAAGAAAGGAGAAGGGGGAAGAAACGUAGGGGAAAUAGUUUUUUUUUUUUUUUAAUUUUGGCCGGUUCCCAAGAAAAGGGAACUGGGAACCGAAACCGGCCUCGUAAGAACCGGGAACCGAACCGAACCUCCGGUUCCGGUUCUCCGGUUCUCGGUUCUAACCGAGAACCGUGCUCACCCCUAGUAUUGAUACAUGACAUGAUACGACUCGACGCGUCGAUACGUCAUUUUUCAAAAAUAGAGGAUUUCGAUACGUUGGGACACAUUAUUUAUUAAAUCAAUAUUUUUAUUUUUAAUUAAUUUAAUUCAAAUUCAUAAAUAAAUAAAUAAUAAAAAAAGCAUACAAUGAAUUUACACUAAUAAUAUUAAUAAAUCAAUUCAGGAAAUUCAAAAGAUAUAUUUAUAAUUAAUGUGUAUCCAUAUUUGGAAAUAUAUUUUUAACUUUAAUAAAAAUUAGUGAUGAAACUAAUGAUUAAUAAAAAAUUUAAUCAAUUUAUUUAAAUAAAUCCAUAAUUUUUUACUAUCAAAAUUUAUCAUUAUUCAAAAUUUAAAUUUUUUUUUUAUUUUUUGAAAUUAUUUUUUAAUCUCAUUUAUUUUUUUUUCGAUAAAAAAAAGUCUCCACUAGGUCCACCCCCACUGCCUUCUUUCCCUCAUCCAUUUCCCCUAUUUCACUUUUCUUUUCCUUCCCCCACUGACAGACAGGCUGUCAUGUCCCUUCCCCCCCAAAAUUAAAAGUCACCCAUCGAGUCCCCCUUUUUUUUAUAUAUUAUUUUUGAGUUUCUUCAUUAAAAACCCUAAAAACCCUAGCCAGUACCUUCCUUUUCUCCUCCUCCUCGCCGCUCGCCGCUCCCCGCACAACCCCCUUCCUCUCCUCUUCCUCUCGAUCUCUACUUGCUCUCGGUCCUCAUCACAAUCGUUUACCGCCUCGCCUUCGGCCCUUUCUCUUUCGCAACUACAGCCUCGUCGCCGAUCCAUCGCAGCAUCACAGUAGUGGCCCUCGCCUCAGUCUAUGUUCUUUCUCUGGGCCGUCUCUCGCCGUCGCAGUAACACGGUGUAAAUCGGUGGAGACCACAGCAGGAGCAUGUGAGUGUUGCUCGUCAGUUCUCUUUUCCACUUUCUCUUAUUAAUAUAAAAAGCAAGUCAAGUCACGAUGCUGCUGAGUAUUGCGUGUCUCCAAGUCAAUGAUGCUACUUCGACCAAAAAAAGAGAGAAAAAGUCAUGAUGCCGCGGAAAUGACGCGGGCAAUGAUUAUUCUUUCCGUGGCAUGCCUCACAGCGGUUCGAUUAGCAUGGAGAGUUUUGGACCGUUGGAUGGCAACAACUCAAGCAUUUUUCGAGCACGCAUAUUAAAGAAUUUCGUGUGUUGGUAAUCCUACUUCAAAGGCUGAAAAUCGGUGGAGAUGCCAGGGUUGUGUUGUUUGAGCACUCCUCAGGCAGUCAACCGACUCCUUGCUCUUUUCUGUUUCCUACUUUGAUUGCUCCAUUUUCUUCUGAGUAAUUUAUUUUCGUUUGAAUUAACUGAGUCAUGAAAGACAUUUGUGCGAUUCGCAGAUCUGGACCGUGAAGGCUGGCUUUCUUUUAAGGCUCCGCUUGAUCAAUCUCUUAUUUUAAAACAGAAUAAGAAUCUCGUUGGUUAAUCACUCCAUGAUGUACGUCCAAUCAAGAAAAAGGAAAAUGGUCUUUCCGUUCUUUUCCUUUCUCUCCAAUUCCUUUCUUUUCUUUUCACUUCAUUUCCCUCUCAACUUAAAUUGCCAAUCGAAUUGUAAAAGAGAAAAACCUACUCACUCAGAAGAUUCAAAUUCCGGGGUGUCUUCCUCAUUGACCGCUCCGCAUGGAAGAGAUCAUGAAGGGGGAGACGAACAGCCAAAAGGGAAUGCUUAUGAAGUGUUCUUGAACUUUAGAGGGAAAGACACUCGCAAAGGUUUCACCGAUUAUCUCUAUAAUAGCCUUGUCAAUGCAGGAAUUCACGUGUUCAAAGAUGACAAUGAGCUCCGUGUUGGUGAGGAGAUUGGUCCGGAGCUUCUCUACAGCAUCACGCAGUCCACGAUCUCAAUCCCGAUUAUCUCUGAGAACUACGUUUCCAGCAAAUGGUGCCUUCGUGAGUUGGUUCAGAUGUUAAAGUGCAAGAGGAGUAAAGGGCAAAAAGUGUUGCCCAUAUUUUACAAAGUGGAACCCCACCAAGUGCGACAUCUCACAGGGAGAUUGAGAAAAGCUAUUGAUGCACAUAAAAAGAAUACGGAGGAAAUGGUUGUGAAGGAAUGGGAAGAAGCACUCAAAGAAGUCAGCUCCUUGAAAGGAUGGGAAUCGGAGAAAAUUGAUAACGGGUACCUUAUUCUCCGACAAAAUGUUGUUAAAUUUUUCAUAAAUAGAUCUUUCUUGAAAAAGAAUAGACAUAUUGCAAUCCUAAAUUGAUAUUCAUUGUUAUUUGACAGGCUUGAAGGAACAUUGAUUAAAAUUAUUGUGAAAGAAGUUCUGGGCGAGUUAAACAGACUUUUUCAGCUAAAUAUUCCUGAACAGUUAGUGGGAAUCGAGGAUCACGUGCAACAGAUUAUGAGCAACAUAGAUGCUGAAUCCAAUGGUACAAAGAUUAUUGGAAUUUGUGGAAUGGGCGGCAUUGGUAAGACUACUCUUGCAAAGGUGUUAUACAACAGACUCUCUAGUCAUUUUGAUUGUCGUAGCUUCCUGGCAAAUAUCCGAGAAACAUCCGAGCGUAAGGGAAUUGAAUGCGUACAAAAGCAACUCAUUGAUGACAUAACAGGAAGUUCAUGUGAUGUGUCUAAUGUAGACAAAGGAGUUAGUGUCAUCAAAUCUCGAUUUAUGAGGAAGAAAGUCCUAGUUCUUUUGGAUGAUAUGGAUGAUAGGACUCACUUGAAUACUUUGGUCAAGGAUGGAAGUUGGUUUGAAGUGGGAAGUAUAAUCAUCAUCACAACUAGAAACAAAAGCAUUCUCGAUGAAGGUAGGGUGGACUACACGUACCAACUCAACGAGUUAUCUGUAGAUCAAUCAUUGAUUUUAUUUAGUAGACAUGCAUUUCAAAAGGAUUCUCCUCCGAGUGAUUAUGAAGAUAUCUCUCGCGAUGUCGUAUCUACUACUGGGGGGCUCCCAUUAGCUCUUGAAGUUGUAGGUUCAUUCUUAUGUAGAAAGGGAGAAAACGUAUGGAAAGAUACGUUGAAAAAAUUAGAAAAAAUACCCGAUAAGAAAGUGCAAGAGACAUUGAAGAUAAGUUAUGAAGCAUUAGAUCAUGAGGAAAAACAGAUAUUUUUGGAUAUUGCUUGCUUUUUUUUCUCUGGAUCAUCAAAAAAAGAUCUAACUUACGUAUGGGAUGCCUGUGGUUUAUUUCCGGAGAGGGGGAUUGAAGUGUUGAGUCUUAUGUCCCUGAUUAAAAUUGACGGAGAUGGUAAACUAAUGAUGCAUGAUCAAUUGAGAGAUCUUGGAAGGGAAAUUGUUCGUCUGGAAAAUCCAAAUGAGCCUCAAGAGCGUAGUAGACUGUGGAACCAUCAGGAAGCCCUAGAUGUGCUUGAUAACAAUGAGGUAAGAGUUUUCUUUACUUGUCUUAGUUGAUGAAUGUGGGUGCAUCUUCCCUUUCUUGUUUGAAAUAAAAAUAACUGUCACUCUGAGUCCCCAAAACUUGUUGCAUCUAAUAGCAAAGGAGCUCUUUUGAUUAAUUCGCAGUAUUUGCCUAAUUCAAGAUCAUAAUUGAGAAGCAAUUUCUUGGUUAUGGACGAUUGAUAUAUAUCUUUACAUGGUAGUAUUGUGAUGAGAAUACUCUCCUUUUGGUAACUUCAAUGCAAAAACAAGACUACAAAAGCAGAGCAGAAUGUUUGACAGGGUACUCUUAGAUAAAACUUGACAUUUAUAGAUUGUUUCGGCCAUGCUUUCCUCGAUAUUUAUUUGAUGCAUGUGUUUUAUGUUUGAAUUAGUCUUUUCGUCUUUUGGGAGGUUUGUUUCUUUUUCUUUUUCUUUUACUAAGUAUUGACUUCAUAUGAGUUCUGGUAUCACAAAGGAGACCAUCCAUUUGUGACGAUUUAGCUAUCUUGGUUCCUGUAUUUUUUUUUUUUUUUUUUGGUCGGUGGUUCCUGUAUUUGUUUAAGUUGGGUUAAGUGCAUCCCUUAGGUAUUAUUGGUUGUGCAAUUUAGUCCCUCAUCUAUUUUUGUUUUUGCUGAAUAUAGUCCUCUUUCACUUUUUUGUGCAAUUGAGUCAUUUGUGGUCAAUCACUGGUUGACACCGCCAAUUUGUUGAUGCGGGUCUGUAUUUAGUUAUGAUACAUGAGCAACCAUGCAAUAUAACCCUUUAAACAUACAUUAUUUGUGCUGUAUAGACUUUUCAUAAUAGUUGAUAGCUUCUUUUUAUAUGUGGCAGAGUUGGUAGAUGCAUUUGAAUGGUUAGAGUUGUAUUGGUUCGCAUAUACAUGAUGGGAGUAAAGGAAGUGUUAUUUCACAUAUGAAGGGCAUUAAUUUUGAUAAAUAUAUUUUAGUAUAUGCAUGAAGAGAGACCUUCCACUGUAAUUGCAAAUGGACCCAAAUUUUGGAAAUUCAUAAGGUCCAAAUUGCGAAAGGUAUAGUUGGAUAAGGAAAAAGUUUG